rnacentral:lncRNA from 1 species
UUUUUUUUUUUUUUUUGCGGUUCUUGGAUUAUGGACAUCAUACCACCUGGGUGGAGUUGUUAGCCAGCAGAGGCCCCAACGUGUUUAGUCCAUGAAAUUGGAAUUUGGGGCCCCAAGUACUUGCCGUUUUAUAAUUCAGGGAAAUUAUCCUGCAUACAGCAGCAUGUAAAAUUUGCAGUGAAUCAUAUGAACUUUUGAAGCUAUUUUUGGCAAGAUUUAACUAAUGUGACUAUACAUCAAUCUUAAAAUGAAAAAUUUGAGACACCAAUCUUGCAUCUAUGAUAAAGUUGCUCCCUACCUAAUAUAUUUUAGACAGGACAUGAAAUUUUCAUUGGGUAAUGUCCCUCGUAUCUGAUAGCUACAUCAUCUCCACCAUAAUAUUUCUCUAAGUAAUGAUGCAACAAUGUUUGGUUUUGCUGAAAAUUGUACUAUAUCCCACACCAAAAAAGAUGGUUAAAGAAGAAAUGAUGAUAUGGAGAUUGGGAAGAAAAGCACCAUCAUUUUCAGUAGAUGCAACAACCAUAUCUUUUGGAAUGUCGACCUUUGAUGCAGAAAUUCUUGAACAAAAAAUAUGAUCAAGUAUAAUUCAAUCUUAUAAAUGGUCCAAUCCAAGUCAUGAUCGAUUGGAUAGGAGUAGUUGACAAUGGUGGAAUUGGAAAUCCAUUGGCUUCAUUCACCUUUGUGUUUUCAAACGGUUGUUGCAAGUGGUGUCAUCAUGGAGCUAAACAACCAUGUAUGUUCAAAAUUUCCUUGGCUUUGAAGCGAAACAAUUACAAGAAUCAUGCUUUUAUGGAAUGUGAAUUUAUUCAAGGCAAUACGCACAAAAAAAAAAAAAAAGCUUGUACAAUAUGUAGUCAUGCAAACAAAAGAUCAAUAAGACAAGACAGCAAAUUGCCUUGUUAAAAACUCAUGUAUGAUCACAAAAAGAAAAGAGGAGAAAGUAUGUGAGUUGUAUGUAAUCUUGUCAAUAAAAAGAUGUUGGGUUUUUUUUUUUCAAUAGAUAUCCAAUAGACACUUUUUAAUACACUUAAAUCGCAUUUAAAUUUUUAUGUAAAUUCACAAACUCACAAUUAUUGUCCUGAUUUAUAUAUCUUUUUCAAUUUAACUUUAUUUUUUAAAAAAAAUUAAAAUCUGACUCGUCAUUAGCAGUUUAGCACAUACAUGAUAUGGCUAAAGUUUUCAUAGACGAAAAAAAUUCACUAAGCGUUAGAGGAAGUAUACAACUAUAUAUUAACUCAACUACAUUGGUUGUUUGAAUCACAAUUUUUGAAGAGUUUUUGGAGAAAAUUUAGUAUAGUACUUUGAUGCGUGCAAAAUUACUAUAGUAUUUUUUGAAUUUUUUUAUUUUUAAAAUUACUGUAGUAUUUUUUUUUAAUGAUUAGAAAACGUGCAAAAAGAAAAUUCACAAAAUAACGUAAACUUUGUCCCAAAAAUCAGCAAUCCAAACAGGGUAUAAGAGUAAAGUGUUUGAUAUUUUUUGCAACCAUUCCUUAACACUGAUGUCUAGGAUAUUCUGAGAUUCUAUGGCAGCUUCUUAAAGGGACCAAAGGACCUACUAAGAAUCAACUUUUUAUUAAUUAAUAGAAAGUCCUUUACUCUAUCUAUAUUCUAAUAUUCCACAACUCUCCAAUCUUUUAUUUCAUUUAACGUUUUUUAUAGCACAUAUGGGAAUUGGUCUUGAAUACGUAUGGUAGAAGGGAAGUCCCCAUCUUAUCAUGUGAUGCGACCACUCACCUAAAGUAAUUAGCCUUUCGCAUCAUUUGCCUUUAACAAGCUCUGAAUUUGUAUAGCUGAUUAAAACUGCCCAUACUAUUUGCAUUUGGCAAAUAGUAGUAUUGCAUUUCUAGUUUCAUUUUGUAAGUAAUACUUUUUAGCAAUGUAUGAUGUGUAACACAUAUGCAUCUCAUAAUUUUAAUAGGGUUAGUAAUAUUACAGACAUUUGUAAUUUUUGACGUCUGAGAUUUAACAAAAUUCUAUAUUGUACUAAAGUUAUAAAAUGGUCGUAAUACGCCAAUAGUACAUAAAAUUCAGAGACAAAAAUUUACCCUGUUUGAAUUGCCAUUUUUUCUCAAAAAAUUUUUACAUUUUUUAUGAAUGUAUUUUUUAAUUACUUGUUUAUGUCACAUACGUUAAUUUGAUACAGUACAUUUUUUUAAAAAAAAAACUCUAAAAAAUAGGAGAUGUUGACAAAAGUUUACUACUUAUUUAUUGUUAUUAUUAAAGAAAUGGCGUACUAGGAAGUAGUUCAGUUUGUCCCAACUUAAAAUAAAUGCUUUUGAACGGACACGUGGUUGAUGACAUUGUGAAAUUGUCCUAAAGUUAGCUCGUAGUCAAGCUCUAUCCAUAUCCAGAGGAGAGGGGAAACCACACCAAAUGGUGCAGUGAAAUGUGUCCGGUGUAUUAGGUAGAUUUCUAGUUGUACUGAAUACUAAUCUUAAAUUCUAUCUUCUGGAAGUAAUUCUGUAUUUAGGAUACAAAGCAAAUAAUUACUUAAUUUUUUUGGUAAAUAAAAUGCUAAUUAUUUGCUGAGUUACAUGAUAUGAACAAAAGUUGCAAAUUGUCUGCAGUAUCUCAGGUCUACAAGGGUAGUUAAUUAGGCAUACUAAACUUAGACUUAACUUGGACUAUCCAUUAAAAAAGAAAAAACUUGGACUAUCUAUAAUAAUUUCUCCCUUUCUUGGAAAACCAUUUUCCAUCACCUUCGCUGAUGAAACAGGAAGAGUCUCGUCAAACUCUGAUCAUUUCAAGAUAAUUUUUUAUUAAGAAACACAAAAAUUAAAAUGGAUAUAAUAAACUGAAUGGUAAAUAUCUGUAAAGAAAUUUAAUGAUUGUGUACCAUCUUUACUGCAGAAGGCACAUGCAGAGGACAAGAAUAUUAAUUACACAAUUAAUGCAAGCAAAUUGUUUCAAGAGGCUGUUAGUCAUUCCUAAGACUUUAAAGUCUUGGUGUCGUAGGUGAGAGGUCAAGGGUUAAAUCCUUGUCUCCCACCUUGCCAUUGAACGUGGCUGCUUUCGACGGGUUUCCCGUCAGUUAGGUUCCCUUUCACAUUUCCCUGAAUUAGGUUAAAAUAGGUUAUACUAAUACUAUUGCUGUGACUAAAAAAAAAAAAAACAAACAUAUUGUUCCAACUCCCUUUUAUGAAGACUUAUUUAAUUUUUUUAUAUUCUUUAAAAGAAUUAAACGUUAAAUAAAUUCUCGGUCAGAUAUCAAGCAAAAUGUUUGAAAUUGAAAGAAGACUGCUAAUUUGAGAAGAACAUAUAGGUUUAUAGCAUACACCUCAUUUCUUAUCCAAAUGGCUAAAUUUCUACAAUCCUUGUUCAUGAUCCCUUUGAAAACUCAAAAAAAGUAAAAUUAAAUAAGAUCCUAUAUAAGCUUACCCAAUCAAACUUGUAUUGAUGAAGCAAUUUUGUCCAAUUUCUAUAUCUGUAAAAUAUGGUCUUGAAUCCAACUCAUCUGGUUAGACAUAUUCUUUGAUGUUAUGAUGAGAACUGAGAGAAAAUUGAGUAAUUGUGCAACUUACCUCAUAUGCAUGGCUAUUUCAUAUCAAUUCAUAGUUCUUUCCAUAGCCAAGAGGUUGGUGCCAAAGAAUGAUGCCAAUAAAGUUACCAAAUGUCAUCCAUGAGCGUGUGAAACAAGAAGGGCCCCUCCCAUAAUUCGUGAAUCCCGUAGCCUUUGCUUAGACGCAUCUGCCCUAAAAGAUAAGGUCACACUGCAACAAACAAACAAAUGCCCUUGGCUUUAUUUCCACCGUCCACUUCAUUUUUGCACAAUCCCCACAUUUUUUGUAGAAGAACACUUCCAUAUCAUGUUCUGUGUAAAAAUUGUGUGUUAUAAAAACCACAAUUUUCACCUCCCAUUAGCAACGCUAACAUUUCCUUGAUCAUAACAACAAUUAAUUAAUUAUUUCAUCACAUUUGACCCACAAUAUACAACACUAUUUUCUGGCUUACUUCUACUUAAUUUUUUAAUGUACUGUCCUACCAUAGUAUGUAUAAGAUCAAAUGCAUGAAUACUCUUUUAUAUGCCUUUUGUUUCUACUAGAGCUAGUAUUUUGCUUUCAUAACCUUCAUAUCCUAAAUGCCCCUCCACUCAAUCCUACUCCCAAUGAAUGCUAUAUAUGACACGACAAAACAUAGAUAGCGAUCUCUCACACUCUCAAAAAUCUAGAAGCAUACCACAAAGCUAAGCCAUUUACCAAUACCAGCCAUUUCCAUCUUUCAACCAAAUCUCCUCCCCCUAACUAAACCCUAUUGCCGGAAACCACCCUCUUCCAACACCCUCCAAACCACCAUUAUGUCGGCCAAGGACUGCGGCCACUACGAGCAUGAGCAACGGAAGCUCUUCCGCCGCCUAUUCGUGGCCUUACUCGCCUUUCAUCAUCCUCAUUCUCUUCAUCAUUCUCCUUGUAUGGCUCAUCCUACGUCCCACAAAACCACACUUCCUCCUACAGGACGCCACCGUUUACGCCUUCAACGUCUCAGCUCCAACUUGCUCACGUCCAACUUCCAAAUCACGCUUUCUUCUCGCAACCCUAAUGACCGUAUUGGCAUUUCUUACGAUAGACUUGAUGCCUAUGCAUCCUACCGUGGCCAACAAAUCACGUUGCCAACUUUGCUGCCUUCUACUUACCAGGUCACAAGGAUAUUACGGUUUGGUCCCCAUUCUUGUAUGGAAAUUCAGUUCCUAUUGCACCAUAUUAUACCGAUGCUUUAACUCAAGAUCAAUUUGCUGGGACGGUUUUGAUCAACAUUAAAGUUAAUGGAAGAGUUAGAUGGAAAGUUGGUACGUUUAUCUCUGGAAGAUACCGUUUAUACGUUAAUUGUCCUGCCUAUAUAAAUCUUGGAAAUCGGAAUUCUGGCAUUAUGGUUGGACCAGCGAUUAAGUAUCAAUUGGUGCAGAGCUGCCAUGUUGAUGUUUGAACGAGUUCCAAUUUCGUGGCUCAACCGCUCAAGGUGAAGAGUUAUUUCCACUAUCUUUUCUUUUCAUCAAUUCGAAGAAUUAAAUUCUUGUCAAUUGGGAUUAUGUAUGAAUUUACAGUGGUUAAUUUUAACCCUUUUACUCAAUUUGUAGUUUAAAAUUUUAUAUUUGUAGUAUGUACAAUGUAAUUGGUGGAAAAAAGAAAUGUUUCGUGAAUAAAUGGAGCUGCCCCACGACAAACCCCUGCUUCUAGUUCGAUAAUUGUUUUGGAUGCAUGCACGCUUGUGAUUCCCUUUUUUCUUUUCUUGUUAGUUCUUGAUUGUGGGCAGUGCACAGAAAUAUAGACUUUGUGUAAUUGAUAUACAUAGGCAAAAUGCAAGAUGCCAAGAAAAGGGGCAUAGUUGCUCAUUAAUGGUCCCGUAAAGGCAACUUUAAAAUAUGGAACAAUUUCUUCUUCUUCUUCUUUCUUUUUUCUUUUCCUUUUCCUUUUGAGAGGAAGUGCUGAAAAAUUCUUGGGUUUAAAAGUUCAACUAAAGUUUCAAUACCAAAACAAAAUUGGUGCUCAAAACUUUGGAAAUGCAUUAUUCUUUCAUGGAAACUAAAUCACCCAAACCAUUUUUUUUGUCUUUUCCUCCUCGUACUCAUCACAGGCCCGUCGAUCUCCAUUUUUUUUUGUUUUGGUAGGGAUAAAUGUGCACAGAUAAAUGUUGCUGAUCCGAAGGGACUUGUCAAAAUUAUUAACACUUGGCUCCAUUGAUGAAUAAAGUCAUGGGGAAAAUUUUGCAGCCAGUUCUCAUUAUGUCUAUGAGUAAAGUUUUCUUGUCAGCUUCAAAGGGUUGAAACACUUUUUACUCAGCUCUCUUCUGCAUGCUUAUCCCAAUUUCCUUUUUUUUUUCUUUUUUGGUAGUACUUUGUCCAAGAUUGUUGCUAAUUUAUGAAGGACUCCUAGGUUUGAUUAAAAAGAUACUACUCCCUCCGUCCUACUUUGAUAGUCCUGUUUUCCUUUUUCGUCUGUCCUAAAUGGUAGUCCACUUUUCAAUUAAAAAAUGUAGUUAUAUUUUAAUUUCUGUAAAAUACCCUUAUUCAAUGUAGGUUGUUAUUAGUAUAAACUAUCUUAUUUAAUAUAGACUGUUAACCUGCCCCAUUUAAUACAUUUAGAUUUUCCAAGACAUAUUAAUAUAUGAAAAGCCAGCUUCGUUAUUCUUUCAAGCUAAAAUGUGAAAUAAUGUAAAAUCAGAAUUGAUUCUUUCUUGACUAUCUAUUCAAGUUUCUAUAAACCAUCAAUUCAAGUUUCCAUGAAUAAUUAAUAUAAAGUUGUACUUUAUUUAAUGUAAGAGUAUUUUAGGAAAAUAGCCACCUAAAUUUAUUGUUUCAACAAAGUUAACUAUUUUUUUCUUAAACUGUAUAAAAAAAAACUAGAACUAUCAAAUGGGACAGAGGGAGUACUAUGAAGGAAUAAUCAAUUUGGCAGCAAGUUCUAAGAAUUUUAUCGUUCUUGGUCUCGUUAACAUGUAUCAGCACCAUAUCAGGAUCAUGUUGCAUGAAACUUGGACAUGCACAUUUGUAGUAUCUUGAGAACAGUUUCAAGCUUAGGCCACAUUUGGUUCUUCCUUGUCUCCAAUCUCCAAAUUAACUUCAUUAAUAAAUGCAUAUUCUUAAUUAAUCCAAAUGGCAAUGACAAAUUCAUUUUUGGUUUUGGAUAAUUGCAGCCACUUACAACGUUGUAAGGAUUAAUCACAUGUUUUUUUUACUACAAACCUCCAUCUUUAUGGUUCUUCAAUACUUAAGGUUUAUUUUUUCAACCCGUCUAUUUUAACACAAGCAUCUAAAAGUAUGGGAAAGCACCGCUUUGUUUUGAUGAUAAGGAAACAAUUAAUUCUUGCUUGGUGGUGGGCAUAUCCUUAGUGAAUGAAGCCUAUAUACAUACGUAUAUAUACAUAUACAUACAUAUAUACAUAUAUAUAGACACAUACACACAUACAUAUAAAUAUGUGUGUGUUUUGAUAAUAAGGAAACAAUAAAUUUUGCUUGGUGGUGGGCAUAUCCUUAGUGAAUGAAGCCUAUAUACAUGCGUAUAUAUACAUACACAUACAUACAUACAUAUAUACAUAUAUAUAAAUAUAGACACAUACACACACAUACAUAUAAAUAUAUGUGUGUGUUGAUAAAAAAAUGGUGGGUUGUACGGCUGGAAAGAGGUGGUGAUUGGUAAGUGAUUUUACCUACCAUGUGGUAGCAUGUAACUAUGAAGAUUUGUUGGGCUUGGAAUUGGUCUCUGCUUGGAAUUGGUCUCUCUCAACGCUUCCAUUUUCCACAGAUGCUGUGAUCCCUUAACUUUAGUGUAAAUAAGUACAAGUCAAGGUACCGGAAAAACAAAAGCAUGUGAGAGAAAGGAACAAAGAAAACAUGAAAAUCUUUUACAUGUUUCUUACCAUUUUAUAUAGUUCAUCCAUUAUUACACGCAUUUUUAUCUAAAGUUUUCUUCUAUGAUCAUAACAUAUGUGUGUAUAUAUAUAUUACGAAUUGAAGUUUAUAAUUUAACUAAAAACAUUUAAGCAGUAGUUAAAUUUCAAUCUUUUAGAGCGGCAAUUACCCGGCUAAUUCCUCCCUUUAUUGCUCGAAAAAAUCGUGCAAGUAUUGAUCUGACGGAGAGAAUGUAUUGAACUAUGCCUGCCUGGCUUAUUAAGCCUGACAAACUAUGAAUUUUAAAAAAAAAAAAAUUGCUCCAGCUGGAUUUUUUUUGUGAUGGCCGGUAGCCAUCAUCAAAAGGAAAAAGGAAAAAAAAAAGCUCAUUCUAGUACAGGACCCUGUUUCUAGUGCUUCUUUUCCCAAGCACAAGAAUAAUGUAAAUUUAGGAAUUAGAGAUGAUGGCGAUAAUUCUUUUGGGUGCAAUGAGUUUAGCACCAAGUUUGGGGCCUUCAGGCCGCAAGCACGCAAUGGUUAUCGAAGGAUUAGGAAGAUGCUGCAAUCGAAAUACUGGAGAGUUGCUCCCAAGUUGAGAGAUUAUGAAGUUUCAAACACCAAUAAGUAGGAGUGCAUAAAAUAAAAAAUUUUGAUUUAUUGACGGAAUUUGAAUUGAAUUCGAAAUUUCAAAUUCGGUAAUUCGAAAUAAAAUUUGGAAUAUUCGAUUUCGAAUUAGACGAAAUUGGGUCGAAUUCGGUAAUGAAAUUUUUCAAGUCAAAAAUUCUGAUUUUGAAUUCACAAUUCGAAAUUGAAAUCGAAAACGGAAUUCGGAAUUUCUAUUUCGAUUUCAAAUCAGUUUUUCAUAUAUAUAUAUAUAUAUUAUAUAUAUAUGUAAUAUAACAUAUAUAUUUAUAUAAUUUGUGAUUUGAAAUUGAAUUCGGUCAGAAACUCUGAUACCAAAAUUCAGAAAAAUUUCCAUUUCAAAGUUUCGAAUUACCGAUUUCGAUUCUGACUCACACUUCUACCAAUAAGUGGAGACUCUUCAUUAUGUCCUUGGAGAAUGCCUUGUUUUUCACUAAUUUAUCUAGGUUGUUUAUAGAGUUAUUUUAUUGCUCUAAAUAUUUAAUACUAACAUGUUGGUAUUGUAGCUGAAGGAAUGAGGUCAUUUUAUCGAAACAGAAAGUUCAUUCACACGAGGGAUAGAUUGUUGGAAAUUAGUUUGUAGUAUGGAAAUUGAUCAUGAUUUGUGACAUGAUUUUUCUUUUCAUGUUUAGAAGUAUGAUUUAUGAAUUUUCUACAAGAUUCAUUAGUACAUUGAUCUAUCUUCUCAAGUUCAUUAGUUCAUUCAUGGAACCACUUAAUUCAUGUACCUAGUGUACUAAAUUCAUAAAUGGAUAUUAAAUGAAGAUACAUUGUUAUAUGUUCUCAAGUUCAUCUGUUCAUGUAUGGAACUACUCAAUUCAUGAACUUGGUGUGCUAUAUUUAUAAAUGGACAUUAAGUGAAAUUCAUAUACUUUUGCUAUUGUAUUGCCUAUAAAUAAGAGGUAGUCUAACCUCUCUUGUUGCAACUUGUGCUUAAGGUAUUUUAGAUUUAGAUUUGCAAAACCAGUUUCUUACAUCCAUUUCUUGUGAAAACUAAACUUAAACUUGCUAUAGGCUAAUUGUUGUUUUCAUUGUAUCUUAGAGGUAAUUUGCCAUCUCAACCCGGUUAGCAAGACAGUGGGAGCAAAUAACAUCUUAAGGAGAGUGAUCACGCAUCCUGGAAAAUCUCUUGAAUUUCCCAAAAUUAGUUUAGUCAAAUUCUUGAAAUUAUUCUUAUAAUAACUCUGUUGUAGGUUCCAUACACUUGUAAUACCCAUUUUUCUCCACAAUCUUAAGGUGUUAUUUGAAAUUGUAUGGAGUCUAUUCAAGAAUCUGUUAUCAAGGUGAUGAAUUAAGAUUUUGUUAAGUUGGACCGCUUGGAUGGAAUUGGAACCAAUUUCAAGAGAUGGAAGGAUAAGAUGAUCUUCUUCUGCACGGCCUUGAAGGUGGCAUACGUGUUGAAUCCAUAUCUUCCAGAAAUUCCUCCUCCAAAUGAUGACGAUUCAGAGGCUUUGAAGAGACAAAGGAAAAAGCGUGAAGAAGAUCAAGUGGUGUUUAGAGGUCAUAUUCUCAAUACUCUGUUAGAUACUCUCUAUGAUUUAUUCACAACCGUCAAUUUACCAAAAAAGAUUAGGAUACCCUUGAGUGUCAACAUGUCGACCAAAAGCAAGAUUCAAUAAGUUUCUUAUUAAAAAUAUUUUGAGUUCAAAUUUAUAGAUAAUUUCUUACUUCUUGAUCAAAUUCACAAUUGCAAAUGAUUGUUUCGAAAACUCAAAGAUUUAAGUAUUGAAAUUUCAGAAGCAUUUCAAGUGGGGGUUAUUAUUGCCAUAUUGCCUCCUAGUUAGAAUGACUAUCAAAAGACAUGGCUCCAUACUUUCGAAAUUUUGACUUUAAAUGGUGUUUUGAAACAUCUAACGAUUGAAAAAGAUACUAGAAAUCUUCAAAAGAAAGAUGUGAAUGGUGAAUCCAAAGUGAAAGUAGAGGAUGAGUCUAAGGUAAAUUUUAUGAAUGAAAGAAAGUCUUCCAAUGUCAAAAGGAAGAAACUUGAAGAUACUAAUUCUAAGUGUAGACACCAAAAUUUUGUUAAUUGAUUGAUUUAUUUAUUUAUCUAUUAAUUUUUAUUUUUUUACUUUUACAUUUGACCUUUUAAUUCUCAUUUCAAGAAAAAUCAUUUUUAUUUGAUUAGUUAUAUAUAUAUAUAUAUAUAUAUAGGAAAAUGAAGAUGGGAAAAGAAAAAAUGAAAUUUGAAAAUCAGAUUAUUAUUUUUUUAAAAAAAUAAAUUUCCCCGCCCGCGUGCAGUGCAGCGCGCGAUUUCUUCUUCAGCAGAAACCAGCAAUAUUGUACAGAAAUGCAGUUGGAAUUUUGAUUCGAUUUUUCUUCCUUUUCUUUUUUCCCAAGAUUACCAGUACAAAGGCCACCUCACCAAUCAAACUCUUAUCAAGAAACCUCUGGAAAAGAGGCCAUCAAAUUACCCAAAAAUUAGCAGCAAAUAUGGUUGCAUCUCAACCCUUGAGAGGAGGGUUUUGGGGCUUUCAUUUCAUUUAGAUAGCAAAGGACACAGCCUUAGGAAGAAGAGGAGGUAAGGAAAGUCGGCUGCACAAAAAUCUGGGGAGGGAGAGAAAGAAAAGAGAAAAAGAAAGGCAAACAAGGAAAAAAAAAUUUUUUGUAAAAUUUUUUCCGGAAAAACAGGCUGACCGACCAGCCAUCUUCGAGCUCAAUUUUCUCCUUUGAUAGAGCUUGUUGGGAGAAAUUUUCUUUCUGAGUAAUCUAGGAUCUUAGUAGAGAAGAUUUCAUUUAGAAAAUUUUCGAAAAAAAUUGCUGCAACCCCUUCGUAUUGAGGCUUGAACUUGCUACAGUCACAACUCUUGAACAUUCUUCAACAAAAGUUGCUUUUCCUAGUUUCAGCACUUGGAUCCGUUUUCCUUGAGAUUUACCACGUUUAUUUGAAUCUACAAGGCAUCAAAGGUAGUUAUUUCGUUUCUUUCUUCUUCAUACGGGCCUAGGUCAUCACCAGAUGUAGCAAGAUUUUGCUGCACACGUUUUUCUUUCUUUUUCCUUUUCUUUUCGCUGUUUUCCCCCCUUUGUUUUGCAGACUUUCAGCUUAGAUUUUCUAUUACUUAAUUUUGUGUUGAAUCUUGCACUUGGAUGUUUAGAUCUUGUGGAUAUUUGGAUUAUAAUCUUGUGUAUUUGGAUCCGAAUCUUGGACAAACCAUUUUGCACAUUUUCCAGGGUUGAGUGAAUCUCCAAAGUGCAGAAUCAUUCGCUGUUCUUGCAUGAAGGAUUCUGAAAUUUGCAAGUUGCCCCUCCAAAUUUUGUGUAAUCGCAUUAAAGCCCAAAUAUUUGUAGAAAUGGAUGAAUUUCUUCCAUUAAAGCCUUGAUUUCUUUCAUAUAUUCUAUAUACAUGCUUUGAAUAAAUUAUUUCUGGUCUCCAGAAUAUAAUUAAAAAUAAUUUUGUUGGAUUUAAAUUACUUAGUUAGACAUUUUCUUUUUCUUUUUGGGAUUUAUGAAAAUGGUUUAAGAAAUGGGUUAAUGUUUUGAUGGGUUUUGAUGAAUGGGUUUGUUUUUAUUUUUCUUUUGGCUAUGACAUGGUUGUGAAGCUAAAACCCAAUGCUGUGUUUGGGUUUGUAACUAAUAAAACAAGUGGGUUGGUCCAUUCUUUUCCUUAAAAAUCAAUUCGGGUUUCGCCUUGGGCUAAGGAGUUUACACCGCCAAUAAAAAAAAAAAAAAAAAAAACACACAAGAAGCCUGCGUUGUUUUCUUGCAAAUCAGAAACGAAAUUUGCAACUAGGCCUCUGAUCUAUCAAUUAAUUCACAAUGGCUCUAAAUUUUGAAUUUAUUUCAAUUAGAUUGUAAAUUUAAUUAUAUUUUGGUCCAUAAACUUUAUCUUUUUAUCUAAUUUGAACCCCUAAUUUUUUAAUAAUUAUAAUUUAACCUCAAAAACUUCCAAUUUUUGCAAUUAGGUUCCUAAUCUUCAUCAUUUCUUAACUACAAUUGUUUAUUUCAUUUAAUUGUUAAUCAUACUUCAUUUAGAUACAUUUAAUUGAUGAAUUUUAGGGAUUUUAUAUGUAUUCGUAUUUCUUUGGAAUAACAGAGUGAAUUUUGCUACAUGUUUACAUUUAUUAAAUUGUUAAUUAAAUUGGGUGCAUUGACUAUUUUGUUGAUUUUGGAGUAUAAAUAGGACAAACUUUACUUCAUUUAACCACUAUGUUAAGGGAGAUACCUUCUAUUAUUAUUUUAAAUUCUUUUAUGUACUCCUAUAUGCUUUAUGUGUGACUGCAUAUUUUGAGUGCUUUUUCCUUUAUUUACACAUUUUAUUCACUUUAAUUUUUUAUUUGUUUUAUUUAAUUUUUUAUUAUUUGGGAGGUAUUUAAAUGCCAAAUCGUAAUAGAUAGGUGUCCAAAAAUUGUAUUUAAUUAGACCAUGUAAUAGAUAAAUUUUAUUUUUGUCAAAAAAUGUAAUUAGUUAGAUAAAUGUAAUAGAUAAAUUUAUUAUUUCAAAAAAAUUUUCUUCUAAAUUGUAGUUAGGGCCUCCAAUGUAAUAGCUAAUUUUAUUUGCUUGCGCGUUUGUGUCCUUGUAUGCUGUGUGUUUAUUCGCUUUCUCUAAAAUUUUGCAGCAGCUAGAUAUUAUGCAUAUGUGUUAUGUAAUCUAUGUGCUUUAUGUGUUUAUUUGCUUUAAUUAUACUUUAUUUAUUUAUAAUAAAUGCAUAACGUCACCACACUAGUCCAACGCUAGUUGUAAUUUUUCUCUCUAAUUUCUCACUAGUCCAACACUAGUGAGGACUUUAAGAAAUGGAUUAGUCUAACGCUAGACCCUUUACACCAUCGAUACGUUAGAUUCAUGCUUUGGUAUGAUAUUUAUUACAUCUCAUGUAUUUUUUUUUCUUAUUUUUAGGAUUGUUUUAUCAUUCGCAUGAUAUUUUUCCUAUUAUUAUCCCCUUACCCUUUAUAUGCUUAGACCAUACCAUUUAGAAUUGCAUCUCAUUUUAGGAACUUAGAAAUAGGUUAGUCCAUUUGCUUGAAUAGGUUAAGAGAGUUACCCUCCCAAUAUGGAAAAUGAACGAAUAUGAUUUUUUAACCUUAGCACGCUAUUACCCUUCUAUAAGAAGGAAAAUUAAGUCAUGACUUCUCGUCUCUCGUACCCGUUAUAUUGCAUUCUCUUUUUCUAAAUCAUGUAUAUUUAUCUAAAUAUUAUAAUUUCUUUUUUUGUCUCAUAUUUCAUAUUUUUCGUGACCUCUUCAAAUAAUCAUUCUUGGACAUCACAAUUAAUGUGAUUUGCAUCAAUUAAAUUUUGAAGAGACAUUCCGUCCCUCUCAAUACCCUUAGGUCUAGAUUUGCAUUCAUAUAGAAGCAUCCAAAUGUGAUAAAUUUUAGAUGUUAGAUUAGAAAAAUUUUUGACUAAAUCUAACAACUAACUUUAGUUAAGUUGAAAGGGUGGUUAGAUUUGAACCUAUCAAAUCUUUGUCUUCUAUUUUUUCAACCGUAACUCCUGAACUCUUUUUUCUUGUUUUCUAAUGACUUUGGUCGUAUAAAAAGGUUUUAUUUAUUUUUUAUUUAAAAUAUAUUUUGGAUGAUUUGGUAUACCUAAACUCGAUAUCAAGUGACGACUCUACUUUUUUAAAAAAAUUCUUUUUAGACUAAUAUUUUAGGUUCAAACCGUCACAUUUUUUAUGUCCAUCUUCAACCCUUUUUCUUUGUUUUCUAAAAAUAAAAAAAAAAAACAUAUUUUUUUAACACUUUCUUUUAUUUUCAAAAAAAUGGGACGUGACACUAAGACAAUAAAAAGAAGAAUAGGAAUUGCUAUAAUUGUGGCAAGAAAAACAAUUACAAAUAUGAAUGCAUGUACGAUAAGAAACAAAAGGCUAGUAGUGUUUCAAUCGCAAAUCUUGAUGAUGAAAUUUAAAAAUCAUUGCUAUGAUGUCACUUGGUAUAGUGAUUGAAUUGAACAUGACCACACCUAAUUCUUCAAGGACUAGUGAUAUGAUUCUAGUGCAGCCAGUCAUGUGUGCAAUAACAAGAGUCAAUUCAACGAUUAUGAAAUUCUUAAAGAACAUGAAGUGAUUAUGGCAAAUGUGUAAGGGCUAAAAUGCAUGGCAAAAGUUGUGUGAAUAUCCAAUUUACUUUUAGCAAGAAAUUAGUCCUCACUAAUGUAUUUCAUGUUUCGAAUAUUGUAAAAACUCGUCUCUGCUGAUAUUCUUAACAAGAAAUGGUUAAAAGCUAUAUUAGAGGGCAACAAAGUGAUAUUGUCCAAGAAUUGUGUAUUUGUUGAAAAAGACUACUCUUGUAAUGACAUGUUUAAAUUGAGUAUCAAUAAGAUUGAUGAUAUUUCUCUUUAUUUUAUUGAUUCUUCUUAUUCUUUGCGGCAUGAUAGAUUAGAACAUGUUAAUCACAAAACGCUACAACAUAUGUUUAAAAAUGGUUUAAUUUUAUUUAAUGACAAUGUGAAUAAGAAGUAUGAAGUAUGUAUUCAAAUCAAGAUAACAAGAUUGUCUUUUCCUGAAGUUGAAAGAAACUCACAAUUGCUUAAUCUAGUGUAUUCGGAUGUUUAUGAAUUGAAUGAAAUUUUAACAAAAAGUGGAAAUAGAUAUUUCAUCACAUUCAUUGAUGAUUGCUCUAGUGUGGAUGUCAUGUAUAUUUAAUGAAAAUAAAAGAUGGAACCUUUUAUAUGUUUUAGACAUAUGUUUCUUGUUGAAAAUCAAUCAAGUAGAAAAAUUAAAGUAUUGAAAAGUGAUAGAGAUGGUAAAUAUUUUCUUACCAAAUUCUCAAUUUUUGUGAAAAUAAUGAUAUUGUACACCAAACACGUGCCCCUUAUACUCCACAACAAAAUAGUUUGACUGAAAGGAAAAAUAAAAUUUUGAAAGAUAUGAUAAAUGUCAUGAUUUUAAGUUCUGAUCUAUCAAAAAAUUUAUAGGAUGAAGAUUUAUUAACUACAUGUCAUGUGCAUAAUUGCAUUCCUUCUUGGAAAACUAAAGUAUCUCCAUAAGAGUUGUGGAAAGGAAGAAAAUCAAAUUUGAAUUAUCUAAAAAUUUGGAAAUUUAUAGCUUAUUAUAGAGUUCUGAAAAAUAAAAGAAUAAAAUUGGAACCUAAAGCACUUAAAAGUAUAUUCGUUGGUUAUGUUGAAAAUUCUAAAUCUUGUAGGUUACUUAAUCUUGAUUCUAAUGUGAUUGUAGAAUCAAAAGAUGUUGACUUUUUUGAGAAUAAGUUUAUCAAUAAUUCAAGAGUUGUGAACCAAGUUCUUCCAAAAAAAUGCUGAUCUUUCUAAUGUACAAAAAGGAAGAAAAUUGACACUCCUUUUGAAUUAAGGAGGAGUCAGAAACAAAGAAAAGAAAAGAAUCUACCCUCUGAUUUUAUUUCUUCACAAGCUAUUGUCUUUCUUGUUAAAAACAAUAGAGAUUCUCUACUAAAUAAAACUCCAAUUUUAUUUAGUAUAGAGAAUGAUCCUAAAACAUUUAGUGAAAUUAUGAAAUCUAGAGACUCACCAUUUUAAAAAGAAGUGGUAAAUGAUGAAAUGGAUUCAUUGUUAUCUAAUGGUAUCUAGGUCCUAAUUGACUUACCACAUGGUUCUAAACCUAUUGACUGUAAGUAGGUAUUUCAAAAGGAAUAUAUCACCAAUGGAUCCAUACUAACCUAUAAAAUUAGGUUAGUGACCAAAGGUUUUAGACAAAAGAAAGGUGUUGAUUAUUUUGAUAUUUAUGCAUCGAUUGCUAGAAUUGUAUCCAUUAUAGUACUUUUGAUUCUAACUUCAAUCUAUAACUUUUGUGUAUAUCAAAUAGAUGUCAAUAUAGCCUUUCUAAAUGGUGAUUUAGAUGAAGAGGCGUACAUGGAAUAAAUGGAGAAUUCUGUAUUGUCCGAAAAUGAGAAUAAGGUAUGUAAAUUUGUAAAAUCAUUAUAUAGAUUGAAACAAACACCUAAACAAUGGCAUGAAAAAUUUAAAUCUGUUUUACGUGCAUAUGAAUCUAGGUCAAAUAAUGAUGACAAGUGCAUUUAUUCUAAAUUCAUAGGCAAGUAUGAAGUGAUCAUUUAUCUCUAUAUAGACAACAUGCUAAUUGUAGGUAUUAACUACCAAGCGGUAGUAGAUACUAAAAAGUAUUUCUCUGCUAAGUUCAAAAUAAAAGAUUUUCUAGAUGUGGAUACUAUCUUAGGAAUUAAAGUUAAGAGGCCUAGUGGGGGAUUUUAAAAGGUAUAGUGGGGGAUUUGCACUUUCACAAUCGUAUUAUAUUGAUAAAGUUUUUAAAAAGAAUCAACAUUUGAAUGUGAAAGAGACUAGUACUUCCUUUGAUCCUAGCUUUAAAUUAUAUGAGAAUACUGGUAAUCCAAUUGCUCAGUUAGAAUAUGUAAUUAGAAUUGAAAGUUUAAUAUAUGCAAUGAGUUGCAUAAGAUAAGAUAUUUCUUAUUCAGUGUGUAGACUAAUUAGAUAUAUUAAGAAUCCUGGUAAAGAUCAUUGAACAGUAGUGACGCGAAUCCUUAAUUAUCUUAAAAGAACCAAAGAUUUGGGUCUAUUCCACAAUAAUUUUCUAAGUGUUCUUGAGGGGUAUACAGAUGCUAAGUAGGUAACUAGUAUUAGUGAUCAAAAUUCUACUAGUGGAUGGAUCUUUAUGCUGAAUAGUGGAGCUGUUUCUUGGAUUUCAAAUAAACAAAUUGUGAUUACUCAUUCCACCAUAAAAACUGAAUUCAUAACUUUAGCUUUUGCAUGCUGAGAAGCAUAGUGGUUUAGAGAUUUAUUACUUGAUAUAAAUUUGUGACCUCGUUCUAUGCCUGCAAUUGCAUUGUAUUGUGAUAGUGAGGCUACUAUGUCUAAAACAUUGAACAAAGUGUACCAUAGUAAAUCUAGUCAUAUGAGUUUGAGACACACCUGUAUUAGACAAAUAUUGAAUGAUAGCAUUGUCACAAUUAUAUUUGUAAGAACUUAUAAUAAUUUAGCGGAUCCGUUGACUAAAUCUCUUGCAAGAGACUUGAUGAAUUCGACAACAUCAAGAAUGGGAUUAAAACCUUUUGUCUAGAAUCACUAGCAAUGAUAACCCAAUUUUCUUCUAGUACUACCCCUAAUUAGAAAGGUUUAAAGGUAAAAGCAAGUUGUUAAUAAGUGAUUAUGAAUACUAUAAUUUUUGUAUGUAUGAUUCCAAAUGGUAGUACAUCAUGUUCUCUUAAUUGAGCAGAUUGAGAAGUAUUCUCUUAAUAAAUAUAUUUCUUAGUGAUUUAUUUGUUAAGUUAGAAAUUAAUUUACCUAUAUGAUCAUAGAAGUGGUGUCAUUUCUAGUAAAAGUUUAGGGUAAUUUUUUAUGCAUGAUCAUGAACUCGGAUGAGCACGUGAGCGGUAAUAGUGCUAAAAAUGAUAUGUGAUUGUUGGAUGCAAUUGAUUAGUUCAUGUGUGUGAUAAUUUUAUUCUAAUCUUAAAUCUUAGUUUAAGCAAUCUAGUCACCCUAAUUUAAUUAGGACUUGUGAAUUAUUUGCACUAAGGAAAAGUUUAAAACAAAAGUUAUUUUUCUUUAUGCAUGAUAUCAUAAGUGUUGGUUUAGCAUUUCAUACUACAAACUAAGUAGGGAAUGUUGAAAAUUAGUUUGUAAUAUGAAAAUUGAUCAUGACUUGUGACAUAAUCUUUCUUUUUAUUUCUAGAAGUUUGAUUAAUGAAUUUCCUACAAAAUUCAUUGGUACAUUGAUUUUUUUUUUCAAAUUCAUUAAUUCAUUCACGGAACCACUCAAUUCAUGUAUUUGGUGUACUAAAUUCAUGAAUGGAUAUUAAGUGAAGAUACAUUGUUGUAUCUUCUCAAGUUUAUUAGUUUAUGUAUAGAACUACUCAGUUCAUGAAUUUAGUGCACUAUAUUCGUAAAAGGGCAUUAAGUGAAAUUCAUGUACUUUUACUUUUGUAUUGCCUAUAAAUAAGAGGUACUCUAACUUCUCUUGUUACAAAUUGUGUUUUAAGGAAUUUUAUAUUUGCAACACCUUAAGGAGAGUGAUCACACGCCUUUGGAAACUCUCUUGAAUUUCUCAAAAUUAGUUUAGUCAAGUUCCUGAAAUUAUUUUUGUAAUAACUUUGUAGUAGGUUCCAUAUACUUGUAAUCCUGAUUUUUCUCCAAUAUAGAUGUUAACAUGAAGCACCAUCCAAGCGAAGAAAAUUAAGCAGGCGUAGCUUUGUAGUUGCAUACUGUUUGGUUAUCAAAUUUUUUUCAAAUAAUAUUUCGCUUGUAUCAUAAACACAUUUUCCAACCCAUCUUUUUAUAUUUCCAAUUAUAUUUUUAUCUCACAUACAUCACAUCAUAAAAAGUGCUACAGUAAUUAUUCCAAAUAAUAUUUCAAAUAAUACUCUAUUCAAAGUAAUUCUAAUUCUCUUGAUAAGGGAGAAUAUGGUAGAUCAGAUGGUGUCUUAGAUAAAGGUCCUUUUUUUAAUGUUGUCUCGAUUUUGAGUUCCUAUGGUUGUGUUCUAUUUCUAAAUCAAUUCCUUUUAUUCUCGUAGGAAAUGGUUCAUCAACAUCUGUUAAAGUUCAUAAAAAAAAUCUAAGGAUUCUAGUGGUAUAGUCAUUUUAUAAUGUAGUUGACAUAUGUUUUAUUUCAUUUUACAGUGAAAUUUAGCGUAAAGUUAUUGAUGUGUGUUUUUUCCUUUUGACACACAGUCCGAAAGCCAUCAGUUUUUUUUUUUAAAUUCAACUGAUUGUUGGGCAGCAAUUAAAAAAAAUUCGUAGCCUACCGGACUUAUUAUUUAAUACAUUCUCUCUGUCAAAUCAAUACUUGCACGAUUUUUUUGAGCAAUAAAUGAAGGAAUUAGCUUAAUUACGCUUUAAAUUCUUAGCUUGGUACACCAGAUAUUGAUCAACUUAGUUAUCAGUUUAGCAAUUCUUUUUUUGUUUUCAUUCUAGACACAUGUUAUAGCCACUGUCAAAACUUUGCAAAACUAUUUUAAGCGCAAGAAGUCUUGCUAAGAAUCCCAGAAUCGUUUAUGUUUGUUGGAACUAUCAUUACUAGUUGGUUCUGCAAUAAAUUACAAUCAAUUUGAGAAUAAAAGCUUCAAACGAUAGUGACUUAAACUACUAAGUUAAUCUUAUAAGAGGCAAAUGAAAACUUAUCAACAAUAAACACGAACUCCUCUCUUUUUUUGUAAUAGAUGUAUAGGAUGCCACUGCCAUUACCAAGUCCAGGAAAAAAAAAAACUUCUAUCAAAGCUCCGCAAUCUUGAAUUAAAGCUUUAUUCUCGUAGUUACUAAUUAUAUCUUUAACUUCCUAAUCAAUUGUAAGAUACUGCAAAUUUUGUUCUAAAACACGUCUCAACAAGCUACUUUAUUCAAUAUUGUCCAUUGUCCGUACUUACACAAGUUAUUUAUUUUCAACCAGCUUAUACUCAAACUACAUUCUCUAAUACUAUCCAAUACUUAAGUGAGUUAUUUAUUAUCAACGAAUUUAAAUUAAAAAUGUCUUCCCCGAUAUUUUUCAGUAUAAUUGCUUGAACAAGUGAUUAUUGUCAAUCAACCAACUUGUCAAAGGCAAGUUGGCUAUGUAUUUAAUGGAGAUUCUACGGUCUCUUUUGGGUAUUAUACCUGCAAGUAAAAUUCCCCAUUUAGGCUCUGUUUGGUAGGAUGUAAAGUAUUUUCCUUAAGAAAAUAUUUUCCACAGAAGUUCUUUUCUGGGAAAAUAUUCACCUUUUUCAAUAUUUUUUGAUGUUUGGUUGAAAAUUUUAACUGCAUUCUUAUCAUCAAAAUUCUACUCCUUUCGCCACCCGCUUUUCUCUUCCACCACUGGAAAAUCGAUCUUCCUAUUUCCCACCACUAAACAUAGCAGAACCAUUCAAAAUAGAAGAAUCCAGGUCAAGUAUAAAGGACAAUUUGUUGACUCAUAACUAUUGGUGCCAUAAAAGACAUUAUCAAGUUAGACAUAUUAAGACCACGAAAGGUGAUUAAGGUCAAUCAAUGAAAGUGCAAGACCAGGCAUAAAUAUCUCCUCAAGUUGAAGAAAUAGGCUCUGUUCUUUUUUAUAUGAUUAGUACUCUUAUUGACUCGUAUAUGAAAUCUAGUUUAAAGAUCAUAUGCCAGCGAUUAAACCACAAUCUCAAAGGCACUAAAAUCAAGGCAAAUUUGAACUAAAGAUACGUAAUUUUGAUUUAAGAAAACACUGCAAAGAAAAAUAAAAUGAUUGAAAAAAGACAGUGAGAAUUGACAAUAAUCCAAAUUGUUAACAAAUUCGUAGUGUCGGCAUCACCAGCAAAUUCGUCAGUGUCAAAGGUGAACUCAUUAGUGUCAAAGAUAUCGAAGUGAGCACGAUGAGACUUUUUUUUAUUUUGAACAUACUACAAAUUUUGAAAGUUUGAUAGAUAUCUUUAUUAGGCGGGACGCAUGCGUUUAGGAAAACAGUUUCAGUAAGAUUGGAAGGGAAGUUGUUUUCUGUAGGAUGAGCGAAAAUCUUUUACACAGUAAAAUAGUUUCAGUAACUUUUUUGCAACAAACAUGGAAAAUUAGGAAAAUAUUUUCCUGGAAAAGAUUUUCACCCGAAACAAAUAGACCCUAAAUGGUGAAAGAAGUAUUAUUCAUCCUUAGAUUGAAUAUUGUUAAAUACUUAGAGAUACAUGUUAAGAGAAUAGCACCCAAAAGGGAUUAUAGAAUUUUUUUGUAUUUAAAAUCUCCUUUUCCUUUUUGUCUUUUUUUUUUUUUUGAAAAAAAUGAGUUAUUUGUUAUCAAAUGAUGAUAUUUAUGAAACUCAAUUAACAAUAACAAAGAAAAAUCCAAAUACUAGGACGAUAUUAUGUUCAAUUAUUUUAAGUGAAUAAUUAUAAAAUAUAUACAUAUAAUUUUUUUUGUGAAAUGAGAGGUUUGAAAUCAAAAUCUUCUUUUUUUGUAAUGACAUAAGUAGGAAUCCCCUACUUAGCAUUUCAUUUACCUUAAAAAAUAAAAUGGAUAAUUUCAGAAACCUCCCCUAAGGUUUCUGACGAUUUCAUUGAGUUCUCUUAAAAUUUUCAAUAGUACACUUACCUCUCUUGAUGAUAGAUAAUGACUAUAAUAACCUUCAUAAUUUUUCAAAAGACAAGCCAUUGAUAAAAAAGGGAAAAGAUAAUAGAAAAAAGAAAAUGAAAAAAGAAAAAUAAUUCUUCUUGACCAAGCUAUAUAUUGUGGCCAAACUAUUUCAAUCAUGGCCAUUAAAUUGUAACACCUUCUAUCAUUCAAAUAUUCUAAUCAAGGUAGCAUGACAAUAAGAUUAGUGAGGCAAAGGCUUUUAAUGAGUUUUUUAUGUGAAAAUUUUAGAUUUUCACUUUUAAUGGAUUUGGUUUGUGAAAAUUUUAGAUUUCCAUUCUAUUUCAAUUUAUGGAUAGAAUUACCAACGUUGUAAUGAGUAAGGUGGCAAAAUAAAAAAAGUUACAAGUUUCAUAUUAACAUUUAGGAGAUCAGGAAUUCAAGAGAUACUUUAAAAAAAGUGGUAGGGAUGAUGAUGGCAAACUUACGAUAACAGCUUUCUACUCCCAAAAUCACCACAUGCUGGUAAUAUAUAGUUGUUUAAUAAAGCUUGACUCGAGUUGAUAGUACAUCAAUGCCAUGGUUUUGAAGUCCCUUUUGCUGUUUUAUCUUUUGUAUUGAAUCUCCGUGCCACUCAUUUCUCUAUAACAAGCAAUCACAUGUUAAAGACUCCCAAAAACUUUGUAUAACAAAAUGUUAAGAAAUUGGUUUAAUUUCUUUUAGGUAGAAUUUUUGUUUUGUGUGGAAGUAACUAGUUUCCUAAUUAGUUUUAGUUACUUGAAGUAGUAGUCAAGUAAAGCCCUAUUUAACUAAAUACUAUUUCUUACUCUAUAUGAGUUUAGGAAAUAGUAUUGGUUUCCAAUUGUUAUUUGAUUUUUUGGCAGUAAUGUUCCUUAUAAAUGGAUGGGUUGACAUACUACACAAGAGACACACAAGGAGACACAAGGGGCAUUAUGUAGCCUUAUACAUGGGGUGUGAGAAAGGGUUCUUGAGAGAUGAGAGAUGGUAUACAAGGGUUGGGUUUGGGUUUAAAUUGUAUUCUUGUAUAGGAAUUUCCUCUCAUAAUAAAGAACAGGUUUCUCUCCGUGGACAUAGGCUCAAUGGUGGAGUCGAACCACGUUAAAUAUUGUGUGUCGUUUAUCUUUCAUGCUUGUGGCUUAUUUGCCAUUAAAUUAUUAUACAUUUGAUAUCUUAAUGUUGUUUAUUUCGAGUUUUGAUCCUAACAAGUGUUAUCAAAGUUUGGUUGCGAGACUGGGCUGCUCAAGGUUCGUAGUUGAAUCCUAAUUAACUAUUGAAAUCAAGUGGAUUGGUAGCUGUCACCAAUUGAACAAUUUAAUGGGUGGUAUCCUUGUUUCAAUGGCUUGAUAAAAAGCAUUGAUAGUGAAGGAUGAAAAGUCGAAAAGUAUGGAGAUGUUUGACGGUGAAUCUAGGCAGAUGAUUCAAGGGUCACUGAAAAGGUGGAAUCCAAUGUUGAUUUUGGACGUGAAUCGGUGGAGACUUUCUCACACCUCCAACGGUUAAUACUUCAUCCAGGUGGAGUCUUGAAAACCACACGUGGCGAGACAGUCCUGAGGAUGGGAAGAAAUAUGGUGACUUUACCACUUGAUUGCCUCAAUGGUUAGGAUUAGAGCUCACAGAAGGGGAUCCCAAAUUGCAAGUAGUGGUAAGAAGAAAUCCUAUAAAGGAAGAUGGUGAAUUGAGGCACCUUCUCACGAGUCAACUAGAGGUUGGAUUCGGAAGUAACUAUACAUGUUUUUUUACCGAUUGAAUCAAUUUGGUGUCAGGACUGUAUUGAUUCGGGUGUGUAAUUUGGUACCAUAUUAUUUGGUAGUUGAAGACAAAUGGUUACUAAAAAAAAUUUUCGCCAAGGUGGAGAUUUGUUAGGAAAUUGGUUUAAUUUCUUUUAGAUAGAAUUCUUGUUUGUGUGAAAGUAACUAGUUUUCUAAUUGGUUUUAGUUACUUGAAGUAGUAGUCAAGUAAAACCCUAUUUAGUUAGAUGUUAUUUCCUACUCUAUAUGAGUUUAGGAAAUAGUAUUUUCCAAUUUUAUUUGAUUUUUUGACAGUAAUGUUCCCUAUAAAUAGAUGAGUUGGCAUACUACACAAGAGACACACAAGGAGACACAAGGGGCAUCAUGUAGCCUUAUACAUGGGGUGUGAGAGAGGGUUCUUGAAAGAUGAGAGAUGAUAUACAAGGGUUGGGGUUGAGUUCAAGUUGUAUUCUUGUAUAGGGUUUUCCUCUCAUAAUAAAGAAUAGGUUUUUCUCCGUGGACGUAAACUUAAUGGUGGAAUCGAACCAUGUUAAAUAUUGUGUCGUUUAUUUUUUAUGCUUGUGACUUAUUUGCCAUUAAAUUGUUGUGCAUUUGAUAUCUCAGUAUUGUUUAUUUCGCGUUUGGAUCCUAACACAAAAAACAUGUAAGUCUCCAUCUAAACUAGAUAGUCACAUAAGUGAUUCUUUUUUUUUUUCUAAGGCGCGCAAUUAUAUUAAUGUAGUUCUUCCACAAGUUAGGUUGGAUAUAAACAAGCCUGCACAGAUCUAAUGAAAAAUUAUGAUGGAAAAUACCAAAGUGCAGUCACGAGAUGAUAGGAAAACAUAAAAUGCAUAUUAUUGUGAUUGAUAAAGCUCUACACAAUAUACAUAUACAUAUAUAUAAUGCAGCCAUUGAGGAGAAGUUUCUAGCCAUUAUCUCUGCUUUCUUCAUGAAAAAGAAAAAAGAAAAGAGAAAAAGCCCAGAGCCAUAUCAUAGAAAAGGAAAAAAAAUAAGGAGGAGAAAAAAAAAGAAAGAGAAAAGGCAUGACAUGGCAUGGCUUGGAGAUCUUGCACUCCAGUCACAGGAUGAACAUGACUUUGCAGUUGCCUGGAUGCUUGGCUCAGCCCGAUUAUUGGGGUUAAUUACUUGAUUAUUGCAAGUUUUGUUAAAUUCUAUUGAUCAUUUUUUAAGCUGUCCAAAAGUGCCGUUACCCUAGCAACUUUGGCAAAUUUCUACGAAUAUUGUUAAAAUAAAAAAAGUUCACGAAAGUUGUGGAAGUUAGAAGCUCGUUCUACAUUAAGGAUUGCCACAAAUAGUAAUGGAGGCUUCUUUAAUUUUUUUUUAUUUUUUUUAUUUUUUCCUCUGCAAAGCUAAGGAGCAAUUUUUUUUUGAAAAGCGUUCGCCGCCUGUGAAAUGUGCGGCAAAGGCCAAAUUAUUAUUUAAUCAAACUAGUUCAUGAAAUUGCUCAUUUGAAUUAUUAUUUAAGGAGCUUUUUUUUUUUUUUGAAAAGCCUUCAUGAGCGGCGAAGCGAAGCAUUAUAAUGCAAUUAAGAAUUGCCGCAUUUAGCAUUAUGAUGCAAUUAAGAAUUGCUGCAUUGAAUGCGGCAAUUCGUUUAAUUUUUUUUUUUCUAAAACCUAACCUUAAUCCUAAUCAUAAACUCAACCCUAAACGCAAAAUCACUACACCCUAACACGUAAUAUUAAUCCUAACCAUGAAAUCUAAAAUUUAAUUUACCUAUAAGAAUUGUGCUAAUCAUACAUGCUAUUAAAUGAAAAUAAAAUAUGCCAAAGUCAUCAAGUUUUUAAUAUUUUAGUUUUAAUGUUAAUUUAAAUAAAGAUAAAUAAUGUAGCAUUCAACCAUUUAAACGAUAAAUGAGUGCAAUAAUUAGCACAUGAACUUGAAUGAUAAUAACAGGAGAUUUGACAAGAAAAAUUCUUAAAAUAUGAAUAUCACCCACCAACACGCCUCUUGCCUUUAUCGUGUGAAGUGGUAGAGUAGCCAUAUUUCCAAUGUAUCCUUCCAUGUGGUGGAUUUUGUGUCAAUUGUAGUUGUUCGGAUCUCCGAGGUGGUGCUGCACUUGUUCAGAUGUUUGGUCCUUGUCAUCAACGGAGAGGUCCAAUACGGGAGUCUGACUGCAUCUAAGACAAGAACCAUGUAUAGACAUCUGGAAAAGGAGCAUUAACGAAAACGCUAUCGUCGUCAAUAUAAAAAAUAUGUGAAAAGCCCAUCGAGAUCCCUAGGAAGUGGUACAUAUAGUCAAGAUCAUCCUAGAACCUAUUUUGUGGACGAAAUGAUGUAUCAUCCUAGAACUUAUUUUGGUCUUCCUACGAAACAAUAGCCACUUUGAGCAGAUGAAGAAGAUGAAGGGGAUUUGGAUGGGGUUGUGCGAGAGAGAAAUAGAAUUGUUAGAAGUUAGGGUUCUUAGUCAAGUGAACAAGAAAAUUGAGUGAACAAUGACUAGUUUUAUAGAAAACUGUUGGCAGAAAUCGUUGUUUUGAUACAACAAUAAUUGUAGCAAUGCUACUUUGACUCAAAAUUUCUUUGACUGAAGCUAUCACCAUUGAUCUCGUUGUGUCUUGUAUGAACGGAUGGUCUAGAGGUGAUGCAUUUAAAAAAAAAAUUUAAUCGCCGCAAAUCCAAUUUGCGGCAAAUGAAAAAAGUACAGAACAAAUGUAUGACCGUUGAUCAAGCGAUGAUCAACGGUCCCAACUCAUUCACCACUGCAAAUGACCUUUGCGGUUUACAAAAAAAAAAAAAAAAAGACCUUCACUGCAAAUCCAAUUUGCAGCAAAUGAUUUGUGGCUUAUUAUUCAUCUUUGUCGCAAAGGUCAUUUGUGGUUUCAAGAAUUUUGCAAAUGGCAAUUGUCUAGUGAGUAGAUCAAUGGUCCACAAAUUUAGUCCUAUGCGACAUUAAAAAAUAAAAAUUCCUUCGCCGCAAAUUUUGUUUGCGGCAAUAGGAUUGAGAAAUUUUUUCCUCCAAAUCAUGACCGUUGAAUAUACGUUAAUCUACGGUGAUAUCUAACUGAAAUAUAAAAUUGUACCGAUUCUUAAGAACAUGAAAAAAAGGAAAAAUGGGUUGAAUUUUUGUUGCGCCGAUAUUCCCACUUGCGGCGAUCUUUAUAUUAUCCACCCUCCGACCACAACGCCACUUUUGUGAUAAUUUUUUAUUUCAAUAAUAUUUCGAGAAAUUUGCCUAGCAGCUUUAUGUCUAACUAAAAAUGAUACUCAAAGGUUUAGCUAUUACUCUACAUACAUCCAAGUUCAGAAAACCAAAACAAAACAAAAAGAAAAAAAAUGAUUCUUAAACAAUUCAAUGAUUCUUUUUGACCAAGUCUCCUUAAAUGGAGCCCCUCAUAAAGCCUGCUUUUGGUCUAACUUCACUUUCCUCCUCAAAAUACCAUGCAAAUUGAUUCUUCUGUCUCUUUCAUCCUACAAGAAGACACUUUCAUCCUCUGUUGGGUAAAAAGCAAAAAAUUGGCAAAUAUUGUGACAAGAAUUGGCUUCAAAUCGUGAUAGAAAUCACUUUCCUUUAGGCUUUAUUUGUCCGAUAUAAAGUGCAAUAACCUUGGACAAAUAUCCUUUAGGAUAAGAUGAAGUUUUGUUUGUCUUAAACUCUUGCACAAAGCAAGACAAACCCUUUGUGAACUAAGGAGUGCUUUUGAGAGAGUAAGGAUAGUAGGAAAGUGAUUUUCUGCAGCAAACCACUCUCUACUUGACCUCUUUAUAUAGGAAGAUUGUUUGGGAAACAAAAGAUCUCAUUAAACACUUGUAUGAAUAGAUUCAAAGUAUUGUGUAUGAAUAGAUUCAAAGUAUUGUGUACACAUUCAUGCACUUUAAUUCAUGCAUCUCAUGAUCAUUAGAUCAAAACAUGAAUCUAUCCUUUCAUUCAAUAAUUCCCAUAUACAUGAAUACAUUCAUAAAUGAAUGUACAUUUUAGAAACAUUCACAAUACUAUACAUGUACCAAAAAUUAAUGAAUAUACAUUAAUUCAUGUAUGUACAUCAUACAAAUUUUGAAAAGUUUCCAACAAUCCCCCGCCAUUUUCAAAAUUUAGAAAAUGGAUUUCUAAAAGGUCACCAAGUAAUCUGACACUCAUAUGCAUAAAUAAUGGUGUCUUUCGAUUGAACCACUAUCUUAGUGAAGGUUCUUUGAAAUCAAUCCUUCAAGAUGGUAGACAAGCUUUGAACCACUUGGACAUUGGACCAACCUCAUAAACACAUCACACACUGAGCAAUGCACAACCAUAAGUUCUUCAACGAUACAUUUUACGGCCUUGUAUCACUAUCCUUUCAUGAAUGUUUACAAAGUAAAGUCCUUAACUUUGUGGUUUGCCGAAAACCAACAUUCAUAUAGGCGACAUCUUAGUGCCCCCGCCAUAGAUAGCACUUUUAAGAUUCGUUAAGAGUCCAAUGACUCAUCCUUACAUUUGCACUGGCGAGAAUAACAUGCACUAUUCAACAUUGGGAUGUCUAAACUUCACAUAGUGCACCAACCACUAGAAUGGUGUACUUUCACUCAUUGAAUUCAAGACUAGACGUUGUAUCUAGCGUUGAAUUGAGGUUCCACCAUUAGUGAUCAAGAAUUUUGGACUUUAAACCCAUCCCCUUGAUGUCUUUGACACCAAAUUUCUUGAUAAUCCUUUUGUCAAAGGAUCACUUAAAUUUUCAUUUGAUCUCACAAAGUCAAUUGAUAUGACUCCAUUUGUAAUCAAAUCUUUGACAUAACUAUGUCUCAAACCGAUAUGUCUUGAUUUACCAUUAUACACUUGACUAUAUGCUUUAGCAAGUGUAGCUGCACUAUCACAAUGGAUUGAGAUAGGCGACAAAGGUGUUGGCCACAAUGGUAUAUCACAAAGUAAAUUACGUAGCCAUUCAGCUUCUUUACAGGCCGAAGCAAGUGCUACAAACUCUGCUGCCAUUGUUGAAUCGGUGAUACAAGUCUGUUUCUUAGAACCCCAAGAAAUUGCACCUCCACCAAGCAUAAAGAUCCAACCACUUGUCGACGAGUGAUCAUCUUUAUUGGUGAUCCAACUAGCAUCUGAAAAUCCUUCUAAAACUGAAGGAUAACCGGUAUAACAUAUACCAUAGUCCUUAGUGGCCUUUAAAUACUUUAAAAUUCUGGUUACACCUUGCCAAUGUAACCUACUAGGUUGCUUGUAUAUCUGCUCAAUAUACCAACUGCAUAUGCAAUAUCAGGUCUAGUACAAGUCAUUGCAUACAUUAAACACCCUAUAACCUUGGCAUAUUCCAUUUGAGAUUUUGGAUCCCCCUCAUUUUUCACAAAAUUUAUUUUGGGAUCCAAUGGUGUUGAGCUGGAAUACAAUCACUUUGAUUGAAUUUGUUAAGAAUCUUUUCAAUAUAAUGUGUUUGAGACAACAUUAUAUUGUUAUCAUGUUUGAAGAUUCUCAUACCAAGAAUGACAUCUGCCUCACCCAUGUCUUUCAUGUCAAAUUUGCUUGAAAGCAAAGUUUUUGUGACUUCAACUUGUUCCAAGUCAGUCCCAAAAAUCAACAUAUAAACAAAUUAUGACACCUUUGCCAUCAUCAAACUUGCUAUAAAUACAUUUAUCAGAUUCAUUUAUUUUGAACCCACUAGCAAGAAUAACUUGGUCAAAUUUCUGAUGCCAUUGCUUCGGUGCUUGUUUUAGUCCAUAUAAAGACUUUACAAGUUUACACACCUUAUGCUCUUGACCAGGUAUCACAAACCCUUCGGGUUGCUCCAUAUAUACUUCUUCAUCCAAAUCACCAUUCAAGAAUGCUGUUUUAACAUCCAUUUGGUGAAUGACUAGAUUUUGGAUAGAAGCUAUAGCAAGUAGCACUCUAAUUGUAGCAAUUCUAGCUACUGGUGAAUAUGUGUCAAAAUAGUCCACACCAUACUUUUGUGUGAACCCUUUGGCAACCAACCUGGCCUUGAACUUAUCAAUAGUUCCGUCGAUCUUCAUUUUCUUCUUGAAGAUCCACUUACAACCAAUUGGUUUUGAACCAGGUGGUAAGUCUACUAAUUUCCAGGUUUUAUUACCCAUGAUUGAGUCCAUCUCAUCAUUAAUAGCUUCCUUCCAAAAGGGAGCAUCUUGUGAGUUCAUUGCUUCUUCAUAGGUCUUGGGAUCAGCCUCAAUAUUGAAGCAAUAUGAGAUUUGGUUGCUCACUGUAUCUCUAGUUCCUUCAACUAGAUACAUAUAAAAGUCCGAACCGAAGUCUUUUGACUUUCUAGCUCUUUUGCUCCUUCUCAAUUCAAUGGUUUCAUUUUCACCAUCUUUUGUCAAUUCACUUGAUUUUGGAAUAACAUCUUUUAUAGAGGUGAACCUAUUCUCUUCAAAAAUAGCAUCUCUAGACUCAAUUAUGGUAUUAACCGAAAUUGAAUCAUUAGGUUCAAUUACCAUGAACCUAUAUGCUUUGCUAUUUUGUGCAUAUCCUAAGAAUAUACACUCCACACCUCUUUCUCCCAAUUUCCUUUUUUGAGUUCUGGGAGUUUUACAACAGCUCUACAACCCCAAACUUUCAAAUAGUUUAGGUUGGGCUUCCUUUUAUUCCAAAAUUCAUAAGGGGUUAUAGAACUCCUUUUAUUAGGAACUCUAUUUAGGAUAUGACAAGCCGUUAACAAGGCUUCACCCCAAAAUCCUUGACUUAAACCAGAUUUUGACAAAAGUGCAUUAACCAUUUCUGUCAAUACACGAUUUUUCCUUUCGGCUACACCAUUUUGUUGUGGUGUGUAAGGAGCAGUCACCUCAUGUUUUAUCCCAACAGACUCAAAAUAGGUAAUAUCAUAAUAUUCCCCACCUCUAUCUGUCCUUAGACAUUUGAUAAAGGAUUCACAAUGAAGUUCAACUUCUGAUUUGUAUGCCUUAAAUUUUUGCAAAGCUUCACCUUUUGAGUGUAAAAGAAAACAUGACAGUAUCUACUAUAAUCAUCAAUAAAAGUCACAAAGUACUUUUUACCACCCAAAGUAGGAGUACCAUGCAAAUCACAUACAUCACUAUGAAUAAGAUCCAAGAUUUUAGAUGAUCUUUCAACUUUAGGAAACGAAUUUCUUGUGAUUUUCGUUAGCAUGCAUGUAUUGCAUUUUCCUUCAAUCUUAUCACAAUAUGGCAGCAAAUCAAGUCUCAUCAUUUCAUGCAUUCUUUUGUAAUUAACAUGACCAAUCCUAUUAUGCCACAAUUCAAAAGAAGACUCAACCAAAUACGCAGAAAUAAUAUCACUCUUAUUAUUUCUAAUAGCAAGUACAUUCAACUUAAACAUCCCAUUGCAAAGAUAACCCUUGCCUACAAACAUACCACCUUUAGACAAAAUAAAUUUGUCAGACUCAAACACAAGUCUAAAGCCAAAUUUAUUUAACAGCCCAGCCGACACCAAGUUCUUCCUAACUUCCGGUACAUAAAACACAUUUGUCAAGGUUACAACAUUUCCGGAAGUAAAUUUUAAUUCUACUUCUCCAAUGCCUUGAACCGGAAUUGUAGCAGAAUUUCCCAUGUAAACAACGGUGCUUUCAUCCACCGGUUUCAUGGACUUGAAGAACGUUCUAUUGUUGCACACGUGUCGCGUAGCUCCAGAAUCAACCCACCAAGCAAAAUCAUCUUCAAUCAUAUUGAUUUCAGAUAUCAUUGCUACAAGAUUUUUGCUUGUGUUUUGGGAAGACUCUUGCUUCUUCUUCUUGUUUUGAAGAAUCUUGCACUCGGACUUGUAGUGUCCCUCUUUCUUGCAAUAGAAGCAUUGUCCCUUCUUUCUUUUCUUGGAUUGAUUCUUGGGUUGUUGGCCCUUCUUGCUUUCUUGAGACUUUUCAGUUUGCCUCUCUUCAAUCACAUGCACUUUUGAAGUAGAAUCUUUGUUCUCUUCAAGGAUUUGACUAUCCUUCUUUUCUUGCAUGCGAAUUUCCUCUUCUACUCGAAGAGAUUUAGCAAGAAUCUCAAGAGAGAUAUCCUCUUUCUUAUGUUUGAGGUCUCUUUUGAAAUCUUUCCAAGAAGGUGGUAACUUAUCUAUUAUAGAGCAAACAAUAAUGGCUUCAUCCAUGUGUAGAUUGUGUUGUGUGAAGUGAUUAAGAAGCCUUUCAAUCUCACUAAAUUGCUCCAUAACAGACUUAUUAUCUACCAUUUUAUAAUUAUUAAAAGACGAGACAAGAAACUUCUUACUUGUAGCAUCUUCUUGCAUGUACUUGGACUCCAAUCGAUCCCAAAGUUCCUUGGCGGUAGCAAUUGAAUGGUAGACAUCGAACAGGUUGUCACUCAUGGUAUUGAGGAUGUGACCACGGCAUAUUUCAUCGUCGUUCUCCCAUUUCUGACGGUUUCGGAUGUCUUCAAGAGUUUCUUCAUCGGGAUUGAUCAAUGGUUUCGAUGUGGUCAAAACAUAGACCACUUUGAGUGCAGUGAGAAGGAAACGAACACGUUUUUGCCAACGAAUGAAAUUCCCUCCAUCAAACCUCUCGAGCUUGACAAUAUUGGAUGCCAAAUCUUUCAAGGUACCAGCCAUUGUAGAGUAUAAAUAAAGCCUAAAGAUUGUUGGGUAAAAAGCAAAGAAUUGGCAAAUAUUGUGACAAGAAUUGGCUUCAAAUCGUGAUAGAAAUCACUUUCCUUUAGGCUUUAUUUGUCCGAUAUAAAGUGCAAUAACCUUUGACAAAUAUCCUUUAGGAUAAGAUGAAGUUUUGUUUGUGUUAAACUCUUGCACAAAGCAAGACAAAUCCUUUGUGAACUAAGGAGUGCUUUUGAGAGAGUAAGGAUAGUAGGAAAGUGAUUUUCUGCAGCAAACCACUCUCUACUUGACCUCUUUAUAUAGGAAGAUUGUUUGGGAAACAAAGGAUCUCAUUUAACACUUGUAUGAACAGAUUCAAAGUAUUGUGUAUGAAUAGAUUCAAAGUAUUGUGUACACAUUCAUGCACUUUAAUUCAUGCAUCUCAUGAUCAUUAGAUCAAAACAUGAAUCUAUCCUUUAAUUCAAUAAUUCCCAUAUACAUGAAUACAUUCAUAAAUGAAUGUACAUUUUAGAAACAUUCACAAUACUAUACAUGUACCAAAAAUCAAUGAAUUUCAUGUAUGUACAUCAUACAAAUUUUGAAAAGUUUCCAACAUCCUCCAAAUUUGUCUAUGCAUCAGAGGCUCCAAAAGCUUUAAAAAAUGUGAAUUAUGGAAAAGUAUAAUAUGAUAGACUAUAUUAAAACUAUUAUCCAAACUUGCACUUUGUUGAUGUUUUGUUUGGUUCAUUCUAAUAGAUAUGAAAUUUGUUCUCAAUAAAAUUGUGUCAAUUCAAAAAAAAAUGUGUGCUGAUUUAGGAUGACCAACCCAAAUAUUGAGAGUAGAGAUUAGAAGAAUUUUGGUAACUGAGGCUUGGCCAUUUGAGUGGGGAAAAGGUAAGGAUUGUGGUUUUAUGACUAACGGUUUGAUAGGCAAUACACGGAAGAAAUCUAUAGAGAGAUAAAGAUUAUGAAGGUAAGAAUUACGACGGUGAAUUUUGACAUCUACAACAAAGAGUUUGUUUGAAAGAAGAAAAAGUGAUAAAAGUAUGAAAGUUUGGGUGGAUGUAAAAAUCAUGGAGUGGAAAACAUCAAAACAUUGGUUAAGGAAUAAAACUCAUAAUUUCGUAGUAUACAAGUAUAUUCUUGACUUUUAAAAUUUUAAUGAUUAUCCAUAUUAAGAAAAUUUAGAUGAGGGCAAUUUUCAGCAUUCAUAUACUUUUUUGAUCUUAUAUUCAUCGAGGUAAAACCCAAAUCUAUGUUUUAGUGGAGGUAUAUAUAAUUUUUAAAGUAUGAGGAGAGCUGUCUGAAAUUAUCCCAAAAUAAAAGAAACAUCCUUUACUACAGUCUACCAUGAAUACCAAAUUAGUUGUGGUCCAUUCUUUAAAAUUUGAAACCUGUGUGGUAACAAUGCAAAUUAUGGUGCGGAAGUUGCUUAAGAACGAAGCGUCCAUCGUUGAAUAAUUCUCGCCCGAACAAAUGAUUUACCCUUCGAAAGUUUCAAGAGACAGGCUCCUUUCAUAUCAAAGACGCAUUUCAACUUUAAUCUUCUCGAAAGUUGCACAAAUGCUGGCAGAACAGCAAAAGGCCUUUUGCUUUUCUCCUUUUUUCCUCUUUCCUUGAUCUCAUUGUUGGUCAAUAUGAAGCGACAAAUCGUCACCUUCACUUUCGCCUCCUUAAUUCCUCCAAAAAUUUUCUAGCUUUGCAUCUCUUCAAGCCUAAGCUUCUUGGGAUUUCACAAAAUAAAAGAAAAAGAAAAAAUUUAAAAAGGCAAAGAGAGAGUGACAAAAGUAGAAGAAAAACUUUAAGAUUAAUUUUCUUUACUGAUAAUUUAUAUAUUAUCACUGUUAAAAUUAAUUAGAAUUCGAAUUUAAAAUUUAGAUUUUGUAUAUAUAUAUAUCUGCAUUAAUAAUAAUAAUGUAUGUACUAGCUAUUGGUAUAUAUAAAAUAAACUCAAAAUUUUAUAAUAUUUAAUUUUAUUUUGUAAAAACUUCAUAAUUUUUAGACUCCUAUACUAGACUUUUGUCCUUCAAUCUUUACUUUAGCAAAGUUAUGUAGAAAACAACUCCCACUAGCUCACAAGGUGUUCUUUAUCGAAACUGAUUUUAAAUAAGUGUACAAAAAAAAAAGUGUAAACAAUGCCAACAAAGUGUACCACUUUUUUUUUUCUUUUUUCCUGAAAUCUCCAAAGGUUUUUUGCUCCUGCCAACCACAAAACAGUGUAAUUAAUGCUAAUUUAGUUGCAUCCAUGCUAUGCGGGUCAUAUAUAUAGAGAUAGAAUCAUAGAAGUAAAGCAAGAGAGAAGCAGAGGAAACUUGAAAGUUGUAAAGAGGAAAGUAGUAUAGAAGAAAGAAAAUCAACAUGGGAGUUCCAUCAUUUUUCCGAUGGUUAGUUCAAAAUAUCCAAAGAUAGUAUCUGAUGCUAAUUCAGAUGAAAAUCACCAUGGCUUAGAGUUCGAUAAUCUUUACCUUGACAUGAAUGGAAUCAUUCAUCCCUGUUUCCAUCCAGAAGAUAUGGUCUCUCUCUCUUCGUUUUCCUUCAUGCAUUUUUCUUUUGAGUUUCCUCGUACGUGUUUAUCUUUUGUUGGUUUCCAUGAUGACUUCUGUUGUAUUUGCAUAAAAAUUUCAUGUUUUGUUUAGUAAGCUACCAUAAUUAUCUAUUGUCUUUCUCCUUUUACAAAAAAGAUUUCCCCAUUGUUCUUUUUUUUUUUAUUUACUAGUGACCAAGUUUUUUUUUUUUUUUGGGGAUUAAUCAGAGGCUUAAGGUUUACUACUGUAAUACUUUUUUCAGUUGUUUCCUCCUAGUACAUUUGAAGAUGUGUUCUCCAACAUCUACGACUAUAUCGACCAACUCUUCAACAUCGUUAAACCCCGUAAACUUUUGUACAUGGCCAUAGGUAGGUUAAUUUUUCCAUUUUGAUCAUGUCAAAUUUAAUUUCACAUCAUUGGCUUUCGAAAGACAAAACAACAAAAAUGGGAGAGAUUAUAACUAGUUGAUUAAUUGACAAUUUUCAUGAGGCAGAUGGGGUGGCUCCCCGAGCCAAGAUGAAUCAACAAAGAGCAAGACGGUUUCGAACCGCAAAGGAUAAUGAAGCUGCUGUGAGUAAUUUUCUUGAUUGCAACAAUUAAUCAAGUCAAUGUUUGGUUCAUUAUCCCAAUUGCGUAAUAUUCAGAUGAGGCUAUUCUUUUAUAGGAUAAAAUUCUGAAUUUCAACUAUGAUGGAUAGUCGAACGCCUUUGUCCCGAUGUACCAAUGUCCAAUUCUGCAUUUGGCACUAGAAUAGCUGCUGUAUUAGCAGGAUUGAUAGCUAAAUCCGAGUAACAAGUGGUUGAACGCUGCCUUAGAAAAUCUACAAUUGGUUACAACUGAAGUGGAGGAUCUACACUUUGGCUAGUGGAGGCAUGUGCCUCAAUUCACCAAGGGAAAAUUUUCAAUUCCGAGUAUAAAAUUUUCGAAAGAUUUACUUUAACAUGCUAAGUUAACUGGCACAAAAAAAUUUUGUUUUUACCUUUUUACACCAAUAACUGGUGGAAAUUAAUUAUGAAGGAGUGGCUAUGAGUGAUCUGAUAACGAUUUCUAAUGAAAUGAACCGUAACAAAAUAUAUGUUACAAGUACAAAACCAAUGUUUUAAUUACGGAGUUUAAUGUAUCGGUGGCUAUCUUCUUAUACAUGAAAAUUCACUGAAGAUUUUGUCUGGCUUGGCCACCGUUGGUUAUGCCAUAUUGACAAUUAUUUUCACUGAUGUUUAAUUCAGGAAGAGGUGGAAACGAAGCUGAGGAAAAAAUUUGAAAGGGAAGGCAAGAAGGUUUUGCCUAGAGAAGAAUCAGAAUUGUCUGAUUCCAAUAUUAUCACUCCAGGCACAGAAUUUAUGUACUUAUUGUCUAAGAAACUGCAAAACUAUAUUAAGCGCCGAAUGACUACUGAUUCGCGCUGGAGCAAAAUCAAGGUGCAUUGUUAUUACGUACUACAUUGGUCUGAAAUGCAAGAUUCAUCAAUUAAUUAUUGGUCUGAAAUGCAAGAUUCAUCAAUUAAUUAUGUACUUCAUUAAUCACUUGAAAAAAUUGUUAGGUGAUUCUCUCGGAUGCAAAUGUUCCUAGCGAAGGGGAACAUAAGAUAAUGUCUUUCAUUCGUGCUCAGCGCAGCAGUGAAGGUUAUGAUCCGAAUACUCAGCAUUGUCUAUAUGGCCUGGUAGCUAGUUAACCUUCCCCUUGAUGAAUAUUUUAUAGGAAGUUUAGCCUAUUUGAACUUGAAAAUUGGCAAGCUAAAGUUAUUGAUUUGAAUGCAGGACGCGAUUUAAUCAUGCUUGCUUUGGCAACGCAUGAGGUGCAUUUUUCGAUAUUGAGAGAGGUAAUGCUACAAUCAACUGCUUUUUUUUUUUGGUGCUACCAUAAUUUGCCUAAUUGGAUAGUGCGUACUUGUUAAAUCCAUGAUUUGUUAAUCCAUACGGUCUUGAGUUAAAUUAUUUGUUGUCUUUCAAAACAGGAUGUUUCGUUCACGAGGAAAUAUUAAAUGGAGUGUCAGAACUUGAACGUAGUGCCCAAAGCAGAAUCAUAUUCAGGAAAGUGUAGGGGAUGGUUUAAGCAGGUUGGAACUGUUUCCAAAACUUGUGAUUCGAAUGCAGAUUCUUCUACUUUAUUGCUUAAUUAUAGUUGCUCUAAGAUGUCCUAGUGUUUAACAUGUUGUGAAAUGAAGAACUUCUGUUUUCCAAUGUUUGUAAUUUGCCAAAGGUUGUAGACAAGUCAGAAUCAGUGCCAAAGCCCGCUUCCUGCCACAUUGAGGUAGUAUCAGCGUCAGAGAAAUCAGACAGAUGCAGUGAAGCGAGCAAAAAAUUAAAUAGAAGAUUGCCUGUGAUGAAAAAACCUUUUCAGGUGUGAGAAACAAACCUGAGAAACAUUAGUAUUAUUGCACCAAUGGUUGAACAUUGCAAUCAUGUUUUGACAGAGAAAAGGGAAAAUGGAAAAUGACUUGUUUUUUUAUUGACUCUCUUUGAAACUGUGUUUGCAGUAUUUGCAUAUCUGGCUCCUCAGGGAGUACCUGCAUAUCGAUCUGAACAUAAGCGAUCCUCCUGAGAAUCUGAACAUAGAUUUGGAGCGUAUAAUUGAUGACUUCAUAUUCAUCUGUUUCUUCACUGGCAAUGACUUCUUACCCACAUGCCCACUCUAGAAAUCCAUGAGGUUUGUACUGUCUCUGAUUUUGCAGUUAGAUGUCUUGAAAUAAUUAUGUUUUCUUGCUUUAUACAUUCUUCUUACUUAUGAUUACAGGGUGCAAUUGAUUUACUGAUGUAUGUUUAUAAGAAAGAGAUGAAGAAUCUUGGUGGAUACUUGGUUGAUACACAUUGGGUACCUAACAUUAUCUUGUAUUAAGCAAUCAAUUACUGCAAUUGCAACUUGGGCGUUUAACCGCCUUUGUUUUAAUAUAAUUUCUGAAAGCAGAUUGAGGACAAGAAAGGCAGAUAUAUAAAAUUGAAAAGGGUCGAGAAAUUUAUACUUUCAGUGGGUGAGUAUGAAGAAAAAAUAUUCAAGAAAAGAUUAGAAAUCAAGGAAAGAAAGCUCAGGAGGAUCCAAUCAGAACUUUUGAAUGCUGUGAGUGUUGACAAUUGAAUGAUUCAGUGUGGCCAGUAUUUCUUGGCCUGAGGCUGUCUGCUACAUAAAAUUAAUUGGGAUAUCCUGUAAUUCUUGUCUAGCAGGAUACUGAAGAUGAUGGAUGUAUUGAAGCAAAUUUGUGGAGCAGCUUAGGAAAUACUGAUAAUGCAUUUCAGGAUAGAAAAAUGUCGGAGAUUGUGGAUUCUACAAGUGGUUUAGAUGAAAAAGAUAUUCUUUAACUGAUUAUUCUGAAGUAAGAUAUUACUCUCUCUGAAGUACUUCUUUUCAUCACUGUAUAUCUCUUCUAUUUGCAUUUGUUUUUAUAAUUAUUUCAUUUAUUUUAGUCUGCUGUCUAUCUCAUAGUUUUCGCUUCUAAUGCCUCAGGUUCUGAACAAUACAAAAGAGUUAAUGCAAGAGUUGAAAGAUCGCAUCCAGCACCAGUCAGAUACAUUCAGAAAUGGUGGCCUUUUUCAGAUAAGGUUAAUGAAGUGGAUAUCUUUUGUCAGGCAGUUCAUUAGAUUUUUGAUGAUUGAAGAUGACAGAUGAAUAUUUGGACUAAUUCCAGGUAAAACUGGGUGUUCAAGGAUGGAAAAAGAGAUACUAUGAAGUUAAAUUUUCUGCAAAAACAGAUGAGGUGGAACAGAGACGUAGAUCGUUGGUAUGAUAUUACAUGCUGUAUUAUCUUAUCUCCUUACUAUUGUUAUAGGUAAUAAUGAGAUCAAUCUUCUGGUCACAAAGCAUUAGUUGUUCAUUAGAUUAUGCUGAGACAUAUAAACAUUCUUCAAGCAUGAGGAAGAUUUUUUUCAAGUAUCUAGCUUAUACAAUCCCAACGCAUGCAUAGGAGCAUUAUGUUGAUUUUUAUCAGGAAAAAGCAACUGAUUCUUUUGCUUAGUAUUGCACCUAUUUCUAGUGAUUUCACCAUUCUGAUUUCUAGGUAGCGAAGUACACUGAAGGACUGUGUUGGGUCCUAAAGUACUACUUUUCUGGAGUUCCAUCAUGGACUUGGUAAGAAAAAUUCUGCAAAUUUCUGGGAUUGAGAUAGACUUGUUCACUAAUAUAUGUUCCGUCCAUUGUAUCCCACUAGGUUUUAUCCAUUUCAUUAUGGUCCAUUUGCUUCGGACCUAAAAGGCCUUACUCAAGUGAAUGUGAAAUUUCAAAAAGGUCUACCUCUGAAACCUUUUGAUCAGCUCUUGGCUGUCCUCCCUCCAAAAAGGUAAUUUGCCACCCUGAUUUUUGUGUAUUGGAAUCAUUUUGAGAUUACUUUUAUUCUUACCGUAUUCUUUUAUUCUCCGACUUCUGACGAGUGACAAAUAGUUGCCACGCUCUUCCUGAAGCAUACAAGAGACUUAUGGUUGAUGCAGAUUCAAGUAUUCUUGAAUUUUAUCCAGCCCGUAAGGCUACUUCUGAUGUUUGUACUCAAUUUAAAGUAGGUUAACCAGAAUAUAAUUGACUAUAUUACUCAUGUUGAAAAUUUGAUGUUCAGGUUUUGAGACGGAUGCAGAUGGAAAGCGCUUCAUGUGGCAGGUUUGUCCUAUAUAUCUAUAAACAACUUAUCUCUUUGUUAAACAACUUGAAUCUUUUACACAAUUUUAGUUAAACAACUUAUCUCUUUGAAUCUUUUACACAAUUUUCUUCCUUUCAGGCUAUAUGCAAGUUACCAUUCAUUCAAGAAGACCGCCUCCUAGUAGAGACUAAAAAGGCUGAAACAGAAUUAAAGGUUUGGAAUAUUUCCAUUUGAUAUAUCUGUAUUUGCUUUGGUAGUAUGCUUCUUUCCUUGUUGACGGUUUUUAGAUACACAUUGCUUAAUCUGAAAGCCUAUGUUUGAGCAUGUAGCAAGCUCACAUGUUAAUUUUUUUUUUUUUUUAACUAAUAGCUAUAGUCAAUCUCACUGAAGCUGAAGCUGUGUACUGUGUACUACUGCAUGUGGAUUUGAUAACUUGGACCUUUGAUUUUGACGAUAUGUUUAACUUCAUUCACGCUACGUAGGACCAUGAGAAAGAGAGGAAUGCUGAGACUGCUGAUCAAUUGUUCAUAGGGAGUUCAGUGGUUUGGGUGAACAAAUUAGUUCAGUCUACAAAAAUUGCACAUCUUUCAUGCAGAAUGAUUAUAUCAAGAUCAAUGACAUGUUGAAGUAAGUAAAUCAUCCCUUUUACUUUUUCCAAUUUUUGUCUUUUUGUCUGCCUAGUUUCGUGCAUGAAAUUUACUGAAAGUAACUUAAAUCUGUGACCUGGUAACUAACAGGUUUCUCCAUUGUGCCUAAAUAUCAUUGGCCAAAUCGAAUGCAUAGCAUUUCUAUGUGUUGAUUAAGUAGCUUUAUCAUGGUUAAGAAGUGAAACAAAGUAAAAUAUCACCAUUUGCUGGUUUGAUCUGAUUGUUAUCUAUCCCUUGAAACCAAAAAUAUUAAUGGUUAUCCAAGAGUAUGGAUCAGCAUUCAAUUCCAACACCUUGCAAGAGGUGGUUUGGAUUGCUGAAUUUGCGUGAUGAGUCAAUUGUAUACCGUAUAAGCUUGUCUCACAGUUGCAACAAUGGAUUAACAAUGGUGGAUCUGUUUGUGCCAUUAUCCUCAGCGAUGGACUGAGUGGGUUCAUGCAUCUUUGUGAAGCAGAUCAAGAUGUCUUGUAAGCAAUCGCCGAUCUCUGUUAAUCUUGAGAAGUUUUCCUGUUGGAUAGAUGCUCACUGCUCCUGUUUUGUUUGCCUGUAGCUGUGCAUUCUACAAGCUUCCUUCGGACUAUGUGCCUAAACGGCAUCUUGCGGAAGGAGUAAAUAUUCCAGAGGAGGUACGCAAAUGCAUUUAUCUGCUGGACAAGCUUAAUCCUGUCAAGUUCUCCUCAAAAGGAAUAAAAAUCUUGUCAACUUUACAAGGGAAAGCAUUUCUUCUCAAAGCCAGUUUGAUAACUCCGAUCAAAAAUGAAAAAACUGAUAAAUUGCAAACUUCAAGCAUGAUGUAGAUUUGGAAUUGGAAAAAUAGUUUUCAUUAAUAGAGUAGACAAAUGCUGAUUGACUUGUUAAAAUGCCUAUAAAAUUUGAAUCACUAUAUAUCCGUGCAGUCAAUAUCUGAAGCAGAUAUAGUGAAGAGAGAGCUUGGCAUGAAUACAAUGGCAGCGCUCCCAACAGAGCAUUGGUGAAUAGGAACCAUGUUCAGAAAUCUAGCCUAAAGAACAAAGAACCUGCAGUCAUCAGCAAAUUUGCUGGCACUGGAUGGAGUGUUGGUAGAGGAAAACUUAACAACUCUACUACUCAAACAGGGCCAGUUCCAGCUUUGAAGUCAUAUGCUCAUUGUGUAGGAAACCGUUCCUUUCUAUCAUCAAGUACCUCAACUUCUGCUAGCGGUCAUAACUGGAGGCUUCAAAAACAAUCAAAUACUUCUGCAUCAGAUAAUAGCUGGAGCAGAUGGCAAAAUACGGACAAGGACUCGUGGCAGUCUAGUUCUACAAGUAAUGCAAGUCCUGCUUGGAGGCAGAGCCAGCCAUUUUCUUGUGCAUCCCCUGGGCAGCAGGUUCAUGGGAGAGGCCAAUAUCUUCACAAAUCUUCUAAUUCUUGUGCAUCCCCGCAGCAACAGGUUCAUGGGAGAGGCCAAUAUUUUCACAAGUCUUCUAAUUCUUCUGCAUCCCCUCGGCAACAGGUUCAUGGGAGAGGCCAAUAUGUUGACAAAUCUUCUCAUAGUGCUUGGAACACUGAAGCAGAUACGGAAGGAACAAUAGUGAACGGUGGUAGUUGUUUCUUUUGAACCAUAUAAUAGGUGGACUGGAACGUUUUGAACUUUUUGUCAUCUGACCUGUAGAACUCUGAAACCAAGAACUUAAGAGAUCAGUUAUAUUUUGCCAUCUCAAAGUAAACUACCUGGUUGUUGUUCGUUUCUUGGGCAUGAAUUUUGUGAGGUUUAAGCUGAGGAAGGUGAAUCUUCUCUUCUGCAUUUGUAUCCAGAUUCUCUGAAGUUUGGCUGUUUCUGAGUUCUUUCUAUAUAAGCAGGAUUGGGAUUCAAACUGUAAAUAUUAAUUUUAGGAUUAAUUUCAAAUAACACCCUUGAAAAAUACCUUUUCCUCACGUUGCCCUCCCUAAAUCUUUAAUUGAACCAAUUUACUCUCCGUGGCAUUACAAAUUUCACAACCCGGUAAAAUUAGAUCAAGAAACUAAAUUUCUAGCUGCAUGGUCCUGUGAAGUGGCCAUAUUACCCUACAAGUUCUUACGUUCCAAUAUUUUUUUAAUAUUUACUUUACAAGAAAAUUUCCAACACAAUUUAGCUAUUCCCCUGCAUUCUAUUUUUAUGCAACUUGUAGCUUAUUAUCAAUAAUUGAGGUUGAGUUUGUUAUAUAUUAGCUUACAACUACUAUUUUUCAUAUGUUUGUUACAACUAAGAAAUAUAUUUAAAAAUGUGGUCGCUAAAUACAGUAUACUUCAUGUUUUACACUUCAAAAGUUUUUGAAUUAAGUGUAAUUAUCCAGAGUUCAUUUUUACCUAUUUUAUUAGUUUAAAAGUCAGUUUGAUAAUACAUUUUGUAAAGCAUUGGGAAGGCAAUUUGAUCAAUUCAUGAAACGAAAGUAUGUGUGUUGCACAUGGCUAAUCUAACCCGAGAUUAGGCUGUCCAACCCAACUGUACCUGAGUAGGUAUAAAUGAGUCGAAUCGAGUCCAGUUUUAACUUAAUCGAGCCGAGUUUCAAGUUAAUUUUACGAAACUCGAACUUAUAUAAAAUAUUAAGGAUAUAUAUAUGUAAAAUAAAAAAUAAAUAUAUAUAAUUGAGCUCGCGAGCUUGGUAUUUUUGAGUUCGAAUUCGAUUUGAUUAGCUCAAUCUCGACUUGACUUCGAUAUUGACCGCGCUCGACUCGAGUUCGUAUUCGAGGCUGCUCGCGAUCGGCGAUUGCAGCCCUAUACCUGAGUGAAAAAAUCAUAAUGAGAAAAAGUGGUGCGGCGCAUUCUACAUUGAUUCAAUUAACAUUCAUGGGGGACAAUGUGAGGAAGUGGCACUUUUCAAGGGGCUUUGUUGUUAUUAUUAUUAUUUUGUGUCAAUCGGCAUUUAUCUAUCCUACACUUACUUCUACUUCCACUCUAACUUAUUCUAAGGGGCUUUAUUAUUAUUAUUAUUUUCUUUUUGUCAAUCGUACUUGUCUACCCUACAUUUACUUUUACUCUCACUCUAACUUAUUCUAAGGGGGAAGACCCAACUGGACCUAUUGGCGAGCCCAACUGGACCUAUUGGCGAACUGACAAGAACUGAACUACCAACGAAUCAGACAGGUGCACUAUGCACCCGUAUGAAUUUAGACUAUUUAAAAUGGAAAGCCACGGAUAAUGAUAAAUGAUGAAAAACAAAGUUUGAGUCUUGACUUUCCAUCCCACCAAGCCUUAAAGAAAAGACUAUGGUAGUGGCCAACAGGCCAAAGCUGUUGUUUUCAAGGGCUUUAUUGGAUUCAGGCCCCUAAUUGCAUUUUGAACAUUUAGAAUUUUGUGGCAUGGGGUGCAUAUGCCAUCAGCCAAUUUUAGCCUAUCCCAAAAAAAUGGCAAGAGCACUCGGUCCACCUCACCUGCACAAGUACACCUUACCAAAAGCAAGAAAGAUGUCCAAAUACUGGACUUCCUGUUACUUCUAUGAUCUAUCCACUUUGAACUCUCUCAGUUUUUCACCGUAUGUGUCGUGAAGAAUCAUGAGACUUGCGGUGGCAGGGGUUUGGUGGUGGUGGUGGUGCAGCAGAGGAGGAAACAGAUCAUUUCAUUCACGGCAGCAGCUUACAAAGAAGUUCAGACGCUUCAUAUCUUGUAAAAAGCCCACCUCUCUUGUCCGUUGGAUUCCACUGAUGUUUGGAUUCCACCCACCAACAUGUUCUUCUUUUUCUUCUGCAGCUGAGCAUUCUUCAUCUUUCACUGGUAACUCUUUACUUAAAUAAGUGCUUCUACUAUUUAACUAUCCAUGCAAAUGAGACCCUUCUGUUCGCUCUGCAUGUGUAGUUGUUUUACAUUAUAUUUCUAUCUUCAUUUUCUCUUCUAAUGUUAGUCGCACAAUUGGCUACCCAUCCAUGAUGUACUUCUUUUUCUUCUUCUUUUUUUCUCUUCGUGGACAGAAAUAUGCUAUACAAUAAGAAAAUAGGAAGCUAGUAAUUUUUCUUCUUCUUCUUUUUUUUUUUUCUGUUAAUGUUUGAAGAAAUAAUGCGGUAUGAUUAUAGAAAAAGAAGGUUACAAUUUGUGGGGUAAGAUUUCAGAAACUAUAAUUAAUGGAAAGGAAUUAGAAAUUAUGUGGAGCUUGAAUGCAGUUGCUUGGUACGUUAUCUAUGCAAGUCAGGUACUGAUUUAUUUUUCCAUGGUAAAUCAAGAAAUGAGAAGAAAAUAAGGUUUCAUUUAGGCUUGACGGUGGAUUGGUUUUUGAACUAUAAGUAGCUCAACAAGAAUUUCAUACUUUUUGGGGACGAAGCGUUAAACAAGUUAUAGACAUUGGAGGCCAGAGUUGAUCAUCAAUUAUGGAAGAACCAUGGAACACUUAAUAGACUGUAAUACUUGAUACCAAGAUUGUAGGGUUGCUAUUGCAGGCAGCCUCAUAUAGAGAAUCUUCCCGUUAAGUUAAUAUGUUCAUGUAAUACAUUGUCGCUCGGCAGAGGCACCACAGCAACACUGAGUCUAGUAGUGCACUCUUUCACCAAAAUCCCGGAGCAAGUCGCCCGCGAAGCCGACAUUGUGGUGUCUGAUCACUGAUGUUGGAGUUCCAAACAUAAUUAGAGGCCACUGGCUAAAACCAGGAGCAGUUGUGAUUGACAUGGGCACAAAUUCUGUCAAGGCAGAUGCUCCUUGAGUUCUCUUUUCUUGGUGUCUUCUUCCAACUCUUUUCUUGCUGCUGGCCCAAAUAUUGUGUGAUGCAUAUUGGUCUGAUACUUUUGUAGGAUGCCAAAAGUUCAGAUGGUUACAGCCUGGUUGGAGAUGUUUGCUGUGAAGAAGCAAUUAGAAAGGUUUCAGCUAUUACCCCUGUGACUGGUGGUAUUGGCCCUGUUUCCAUCUCCAUGCAUACAAUUGUAAUUUUUGUCUGGAUGGAGGGUCGUGGAUAUUUUUCUUCGUUGUGUGAAGAGUUUCUAUCUUCUUUCCUUUCACCUUCACUUAUCAGCUACUAGAUGAGAACUUUUUCUGAAGUUUCAUUUGAAAACAUAGAACAGCAAUAUGUUAUUCACCUUAGGCUGUAUGUGAAGUUUUACAACAUAAUGUUAAUCUGUUUAGGCAGUUUGUCAAGUUUUACAAAAUUUACAUCCUACGCCACAAUAAUAAAGUUUUUCUUUAUUCUUUUAUCUUCUCCAGACAAAAAGCUAAUCCUUGAAUCUAAAGAUCUAGUUUAAUUGUCCUAGAAUGUUUCAAUAACGGAUAAAACACUAAAUCUGGUCACAGUUUUACUGUUCCUGCACCAACAAAUGGUUACAGUAUAUGAUGGCUAUUGAAAACUAGAAAAUUCAAUUGUUAGUAGCGACUAGAGGGCAGUGGCUGCAUUCUUACUCCAAAGAACUAGAUUUUUAUUUUCAUCCUAACUUUUAAAACUUGAAAGGACAGGCCAAGAAAUGAAACAGCAAGAACAAAGUAAGAUGAAUGUAUAAAAGGUCAAACAAUUCAAUCACAGUCAACAUUCUUUACAGCUUUUAUGUAUUGAUGACAAGUUGAAUGUCUCUAAUCUCCGCAGCUUUACCAUUCAUUAAGAUUUGAGCAACCGUCCUUCGAAAAAAGACGCUAAGGAUCCUGGUCAUAAGGCAUCUGGGUCGUAUGAAGAGUCAAGUUUGAGAAUGGAUUUUCUGUUCAUUUUUAGUUCAUCCAGCAGAGAAGCAUCAGCAAAUCGUAUCAAUGAAGUAUUUCCUCUCAAAUCCAGAUGCUCUACUUUCCCUAAUCAAUAUCACAUACAACACAACGGGGUCAAAAUGAAACUCUCAUCAGAAAGAACACUAAAACAAGGUCAGUAGAUAUCAAACAUCUAAAUGCUGGAAAAAAGAAUGCAGUGCUUUGAGUGGCUAAUUUUUGAUCCAUGGGUAUGAGAAAAUCCUCUAGAACUCUAGUAAGACAAUUUUGGGAAGCAUGGGCACCGAGUGGUGCUGCAAAAGAUGGUUUUCCCUGCUAAAGUUAUGAGAAAUAGUCGUGUCAUGCAGGAAACAAAAACAAAUUUACGCAGAGUCUUUGAAAGGAAUGCUGAUAGUUAAUCAGGAAAUAAUAACUCAUGAAAUGAAUGAAGUGACGUCACUAAGUGAGAAGGGUUGCUUUCUGUAACCUGGAACUUCACUUAAAAAGUCCCAGUGCGAUGGUAUUGAAGGAUAGUUUCAUUUUAACGUUAUAGAUCAGCUUUCUCAAGGGUAAUGGCUGACGUGUACACCUUUCUUGUAUUCUUCGAUGAAGAAGAAGCACAGAAGGAAUUUGAAGAAACCUAGUAAACACUGAAGAGAGCAAGCAAACAACAAAACGCUGAACAAGUGUAAAAUCAGUCACAACAAAACUAGUUUGCUGGAAUUGAGUGCACAAUGUUUCCAGAUUGCUACCCCUCCAUCACACCCCCACCCCAGGAAAAAAAAAAUUAUAAUAAUAUAAUUAGGUGGUAGGCUUGAGGCUCAAAUCCUCCAAUAGAAAGAGUUCAGUGACAAUUGUGCGAUCUCAACUACUAAAUUCAUACUAACCUAUCCAAAAUAUUUGCAAUAUGUAAACGUAACCUUCAUAACUUAUGGUCAGUAUCUGGCCAUUGGAAAAGAAAUAAGCCUAUGCGAAUAAUCACCUUGUAUCAAGAUGUUAAUUUGCAAAAGAUAUAUUGGUUGGAUAUCUUGAUAAAGUGUCAGAACCAAUCAAACAGGUUCCAAUUAAGGCUCUCAUUGGCAGCAAAAAAUGUCAUUAACUAUUUUUUUCAAAAUUCGCUUUAUGCUCACUCUUUUAAAAUCGUCUGAUACCUCCAUUUAGAAAGAUGUACUCCCCUUCAUUAAGAUAAAGUUUUCUGAACUUCAUUUAUAUUAACUCUCACUUCAAAUCUUCUGAUGCAUUCAUAAAAAUGAUCAGCCACUUAAGUGACUUAGGAUCCUGCCAUAGUGGCUCAACUCUAUGCAAAACUUGCCACCAUGGAUGUCUUAUCUCAAGUAAAACUUUCUGAGCCGGACAUAAAAAGGGAUUUUACAGCUCUACUGCCACAAUAAACCAUUGAAAGGAGCAUAGAUGUAGUGAGAAUGUGUGGUUCACCAUACACGACACUUUGACAGGCCUCCUAUCUGUGGUUCUGGUAAUUAUGCAAUUUAUUAUCUUGUAAAGGAAAACUCCAUACAGGAUUAUAAAGCAUGAACUUAGACAGACUUGAGCCGUACUUAGACAGACUUGAGCCGUUAUGAACCACCUUUUAAGACCACAAUUUCUUCUUAUAUGUGUGAAGUCCUUAAAAGCUUCUUCAGGAAGUUGUGAUGCAUACCAAGACUAGACUUGAUUAACCAAAAAGCAAAUAUCAAACAGAAAAUAUGUAACCUGACACACAUAUUUCACGGCCAUGGCAUGUUUAGUUCAAACAACUCACGGGGAAGUAUGAUGUAUCUAUUGUCCAGCACAACAGAAUAACCAGAACUAGAAGAACAUACCUCUCAUAGCUUUCAAGGUGGAGCAAAUGAUUGACAAGGAUUCCACAGGCAUGGAAUUACAUCUGGCAUCGAUUGCAGUAAGUUCCGGAGCACAUGAAAUGAGCUUUGACAGGAAAUUUGCAGUUUCAAUCCCACCGUAAUUUUUGCUGUAUGAGGUAACUCAGCAUGUUAAUUGUAUGCACAAGGAAUAAAAAAUGUAGGGACAAUAAGAGAGCCCUGAACCUGAUAUUGAUGUAAACAAGCUUCAGGUCCCCCAUUAUUUCAUCUUGUGCUUUCUGAAAGCCGGGAGGACCAAGAUAAUAUCAUCAAUGUCAAGGGAUUGAAGCCCCUUAGAGAGAAACUUUCCCAACAAUGCCCCAAUUUUGCUGAACAGAUAUAUAGUGGACAAAAGCAUGAAAACGAACACCCAUCAUUACAUCUGGAAGAUAUCUUGAAUAUAUAUACUAUAGUAUAAGCAGGCAUAGAAGACUCGAUCUGAAAAAUAUACACGGGUGAGGGAUACCAUCAAAAACAAAUGAGAAAGAAGGGCAUCACAAAUUCAUCAAGGCACAAGGUACUAACGAGGGACAGGAUGGACUGAUAUGAUUGAUUCUAUAUACAACUUUUGCAGCACUAAGAACUUAGAACAGUCAGAAAUUUCACUUUGUGCAUCCACCAUAGGUUAUUGCAUCUCAGUGUUUACACUAAUACAGCUAGGAUGGACCAAAAGUUAGGUAACAUUAAUUCACCAAGAAGCAACAAAACUUUAGUAUAACACGUAAAAGGAGCAGAUGGUAAAUUGAAUGAACACAAGAAUAACAGGCCAUGUCAAAAAUGCUUAGAAGGCAAAAAUGAAGAAAAAACUUCAAUGAAUUAAGGGAAGAACAGGCACUGUAAUAUUUCAAGAAAAAGAAAGCACUACACAAAACCUAAGACAAGCAGAGAGAAAAACAACUUGGGUCUUCAUUGAGAUUUAUCAGAGCCAAUAUAUAGGGAAAAUUUCUGUUAUCAUGACGUGGACCAGAUUGAUUGGAAAUUGCAUGCACAACUCCCAUAAUUAAGUUCCAAGAGAGAAUGAAAUAUCAAUCAGCCAUCAGGUAAAUCCAACCAAACCAUAAUUUCAGCAUUCCCUGCCAAGUCAAAUCGGGGACUGGCUUGAUGUUAGUUCAAUGAAAGCAUGAAAAUUCAUGCCUACAAACCUUCCAAGGUUAUUCUCUCCAAUAGAGAGGGAGGUCAGUGGCUUCUUCCAUCUUGACAGUACAUUUAAAAGUUGACUCACACUGUUGAAAGUAAGCUCACAUUGUCCCAACUUCAGAUCAAUGAGCGAAAAAGGUUUCUCUGACAUCUCAACAAAAUAGGGCAUCAUAUUCCUAUAGAUUGCAAAAUACUGCAUUAGCAGAAAGCUAGUACUUUAAAACUGUUGAAAGAAUGUGCCAGUCUACUAACUUGAUUCCAUCAUCCUCAAUAGGAUUAUCACUUAAAUCAAGACUCUCCAACUUAGGCAUGCAAACCAGCGCAUAUUUAAGAAAGUCUACGUCAUCUCUCUGCAGAUUAUUGUUCCUGAAAUUAGAAAGAAAAAAAAAUCAAAGAAUUAUGUAAAAAGCAAAGGUCUGAUAAACUUUAAGGCAGCCUCUACAACCUCAUCGUUACACUGUGGAAAAUGAAAGACAUUCCAUGCUCCAGACAUUAAUGUGAUAUCCCCUUGUCAGGUCUAUGGCUAAUUAACUCCAAGAAAGAUUUCAUUCAUCUUCAAGAAAUUUGAAUAUUUACUAAUCAUCAGGAGAUAAUGUCAUGUACCUUAGAUUUAGCACCCGCAAUGAUUGCAAUGACUUGCCUAUUCCUGAAGAUAACUGCUUGCCAGGUCUAGACGUCCAUUUAAAAUGGGAUGGCCAUCCAGACAUCUGCACUUUGCAUGUUAAUAUCCUUAAAGGCUGAUUGCCAACAAAAAUGUUUGUGGUGAAAAUCAUGUGAUACGUAUAUUAAAACUUACAUAGUUUUCUGAAAGGUCCAAAGCAGCUAUAUUAGACGAAGAAUCAAAGAGGACAUCCAAAAUCAUUUCCACAAAAUUUCGACGAAGGUGGUCAUCAGAUAAGCUUAACGAAGACAAGCACCUAAAGAAAUAAAAGCAUCUAAGAAUUUCAAACUACUCAUAUAAAUUUUCUCAGUUGACAUGCACCCUGAUGGAAACCUUGACAUGAACUUUUAAAGGAUGACUAGCAAUGCAUACAGAUUGUUCACUCUGACACUAGAGAUCAAAAGUUCUCCCUGCCAUUAUCCUAGUUCAAUUCUUUGACCAAAACAUUUUUUAAAAUUUAUCUACCUCAAUGAGGAAGUGCCUACAAACAAACAGCAACAUGUUUAAUUCCUUUGAGAGGCACGAUGUUUUUCACAAAUCCAAUAACAAAGAAGUGAACCAACUAAGUAUACCAUUAUCUUGGGAACACACUCUUGCUACGACGGACUUUGACUAAGCUAUCCAAGUUUCUUGCCUUCUUAACCAGAAACUUUAUGAAGUUUAAGCAGCAGUCCCCAAAACGAAGGCAUAUUAUGUUCUUCGAUUCAUUCUUGAGCUCAUACAUAAAAUAAUAUUGCCUUUCAUCAUAUCCAUGGAAAAUUUAGAAAUUUCAAAUGGUAGCUCACUUUAACUUUCUUCAGUACAUAAAAUAACUCAGAAUCUGACCAUUGGGUAAUACUGAUGAUAAAAAAAUAUAAUCUACAAAAAAGCUAUUAUCAAAAAGACUUGAUGGAAUUAAUUAUGAAAACCUAGAUCAUCCCUUAAACGUGGUAAGCAAAGAAUAGAAAGAUGACUCCAUCACGAGUGUAUUGGCAAUGAGUACAAAACAUGCACAAUACAAGAGAGAAUGAUAAAGAAGUUUUCAAAACAAAGCCUACUCAUUGACAGUUAGCAUGGCUGCAUGAAUCUCAUUCUGUGCGCGCACAAGAGGGUGUGCGGUGACAGAGAGAGAGAGAGAGAGAGAGAUCUUUAAAAAUACCGAAGAAUGCAAAAGACAAAGUACCUCCCUGAUGACAAGAAAGAUGCCAAACCAGCAGGUAAGGUAGAAGAACUUGUAUCCAAAAAAUUUGAUAUCCUGAUUGAGAAAUGUUCUAUUCCGUGUGUCUUGAGACCUUUGAUCCACAAUGAAUCGCAUAUAGCAUCGAUAAAUGAUGUUGAAAGCUUGCAAUGAACAAAUUCAAUAGAUUUUAGAGUUUCACUGUUUUGCUUCAGAAGUUCACAUAUGCCAUCAACCUGUCACAGAAAGCAGCCAGUUAAAAAGAUAUUAAAAAUGUACACAUUAGAUUUCUGGAAGUUUAUUGCCAGCGCUGAAUACAUGAGACAAACAUGAAGGAAAGCACACACACUUAAAGGUCAAUAAAAUGAAUAUGCCACUUAAUUUCAAAAGAAACAAUAAAACGACUGGCCAACAGAAUCAAUUUAACCUUGAUUUCAAAAAUAGAGAUGAAAAAGAAAGUGAAAAGAAAAUUAAUUACAUGAUUUUGUUUUUCUUCAUUUUUCUGGAUAGCGUAAGCUUGCCUUUUCUAACAUAACCAACAACCAUUUGGUAUCACAUAAAAACCACUAUUAUCAGUGCAACGCCCUUCGGUUAUAUUAUUCUAAUUUAUUUCACCAGUUCUAGAAACCACUCUGUUCUACUACAUAACCUACCAAAUAUUCAGCAUUGUAAACACCAAAUGUGAUGAUCCCCUUUUUAAGGAAAUAUGCCAGCAACCCUUACCAUUUUAUGCAAGCAUGGAACAAAAUGUGCUUAGCUCAUAAAAGUUACAAAACACUUGGAACCAAAAACAAACAUCAAAACUUACAAAACUUACAUGAUCCUUCAACUUUAUCCAGUGUAUCUCCAAAGUUUCCAAGUUACUGGUCCUUAAUAAAUCCUGCAGAUAUACUCAUGAUCAGAUAUUCCCCAAGGAGAUGAAAAGAUGCGUCAAACUGUCAAUCAGAUUCCGUCAAGAGCUUUACCUAACAUUGAUGUACAACAGCCUAAUUUGAAAAGCAAAAUUCAUAUACUUUUUAGUGUACAUUUAAUAAAUGGUAAAUGACUUUUCCUGCAAACAACAGGAUAAUCAUAGACAUGUAAUCAGGCAGGCAUAGAAAAAUAUGCAGAAUGUAUCACUCUUAGUUCAGAAGCUAAAUCAGCUUAAGAAUACUUGGACACAUUCAUUGCAUUUACUAAUUUCAAUUCAAAAUUAAUUACCUCAUGUACGUACAACUACUGAAUAAGUCAUUUUCUUCUUACAAGAUAUUGAUAGAUUCAUUCACUCAUAUUCAUUUACAGGGGAACACAUCUACCAUAAAUGAUUUGGGAACCAUGUUAAUCUGCCGAUGGUCAAAGUUAAAGCAUUAAAAGACAUCUCAAAGUUCACAAAAAAAAAAGGAGCACACGGUAGCAGUAAAGAUGACUUCCAAUCAUGAAGUCAAAAUCUACAUUUAGAAGAUACCAAUCCACACAAAUACAAGAUUAUAGUCAUGACAGGCAUUCUAGUUAAAGCUUCAAACUCUAUGGCAGCUCAGGAUAUAACAGGGACAUUUUAAAAGAAUUUUACAGCUAAUAAGAUGAAACAACAAAGACAGCAAAAGAAUUUCAGAAUCCUGUAAUGGAGUAAAAUUAGAAGCAAUUAUAAUGAAGUAGGGGGAGAAAAUUGGAGUUUGUUUACUUAAACAAGCUGCAGGAGUCAUAUUGAUUCAGAAUUUUAUCACGGUGUUAGGGAUGCCACUGGCACUUCUAUCAUUUGCUAUUCUUCAGCAUAACUAUCAAAUUUUCUUUUGGGGCCAUUUAUCUAUGCCAGUAAACAAAGUUCGUAGCCUAAAGAAAUCUAAUCUUUUUAUGAGGCAAGAUACAGCUAGAAACUUCUUUGUCAAAUGCUCUGUUUGGUGCUCAAACAAACCUAGCCUUAAGCUCCUUUUGGCAUGUUCCAGUCUGAAAGGGCAAAAUAAACUUUUUCAAAAACCAGGAAGCUCUUCCUACAGAGCGCACUCCCUCUUUCCUCAAUGUCCACUACAAAGCUCAAAGGAAUCUACCGUACUAUCCUCAAUAUUACUCAGGCCACCAAGAAUACCGCAUUUUACUCAGUUUUAAUGUGUUUUCGCAUACUCAGAGUCCAUUUCAUCUAUACUAAUUAUCCUUCAUUACCAAAGCUACUUAGAGCUAUAUAGGUUCACUAGCUAUUCUUGCCGAAUCACCCUGAAAAGUUUUGAAUUCUGUUUUUUACUGCAUAUCAGAACCAAUUAUAUGCCAAUAAUUAACCUACAGUACCAUUGAAGACAUUGUUAAAAAGGAUCUACAACAUUGCAAUGGCCUUUUAUGUAUGAGUAAAGCAAGGAAACCAAAAUUUUAAACAAACACCUCUAACUAAUUCAUACAGUAUUUAACCAAAACUAUCAAUCUCACACCGUGAAUUUAACUUACACAAAUUUCUGGAAGGCAAAGAGCACUGGGGAGUCUCAGGCGUCUGCAACAAAGAAAAUAUGGACCGAUGAAUCUAACUCUCAAGAGUUUAGCACCAAAAGAGCAAAUGAUUGAUACAUUAUGUGCCAGAAAACAUACUUGUGCUCUAGUCUUUCAUUUUUCUUAGCAGUAGUAGCAAUUAAUGAAAACUAAGUAUACACAAGAACCUUUAUCAGCCUUAAAUAGAUCCCACCAUAUAUGCCAUUGUUCUUGAGAUAUCGAGACAAAAGUCACAUUGGGUUUGUUCUCGGUUGAUUUUAGAUCACAAAUUGUGAUUUUAAAUAAUCAGUUUUUGUGAUGUUCUCAUAUGCUUUUGUGUUCAGAAUAUAGAUUUUUUAAUAAGCAAAAAAGCUAAAAUCCAUAAACAAUCAAAGAGUAGCUUUUACAAAUUCUGAUUAUUCUCUACAAUCACUCUCCAUAUUCAGAUUUUGCAAAAUCUAAAGCAAGCGAGAACAAGGCCAAAACCUGGCAUAUAAUCCAAAAUGUUGGCAGUGAUCUGAGAACUUUGAGUAGUCACAUGCUGAACUGUUCAUAUGCUCCCAAUACCCUAUGCAUCUUACUAUGGUAGCUGCAUGGACCAAAAGCCAUGUAUUUUAAGUGGCUCUCUGUUUUGACGAUUAACAGAUUCAAAUAAAAAUUAUAAAACAAUUUAAGCAUUUGACGGAAAGUGAGCGAUAGAAAAGGAAAAACAUUGACGAAAAAUCGCAAUCUUAUACUCCUCAGUAAACUCGAUAGGGGCUCAGUCUGACAGGGACUUAAGUUCUUUAUGAGCCAGUUAAUCAAGAUAGAUAAUCCUUCUAGCCAUGAGAACAUAUUUAAUAGAGGAGCCUUAGAAGAGUUUCAGCAGGCGGUUACCAACCUUAAGUUUCACCUAAACAGACCAGUUCACUGCUGAGAUCACAAGCACGUGCAGAGGAAGAAUUCAUGUCAACUAGAAUGUCAUUUUCAGCCAAAAAAGUUCAACAUGAAACCAGGAUCCCAAAAAUAAGAUUAGAGAUGUUACCAUACAAUAUAUAAGUAUUACAGAAAACAUAUCUUACAAUCACAGGCGGAGUCAAAUAUGAAGGCAGUGUUAAAGCUAUCAGGUUUCUCGUGAAUUCAAUUUUCAGCAGUUGAAUAAUCAGUAUGUAGGCUAAGACCCACAGUUUUAACCUACUACAACUUCAAAAAUUAACCAAGUUCAUCUAUUAGGCAAACUAAGUGAUAUGCUCCCUUGAUCACUAAAUCAUUUUAACCAAGAACAGAAUGCACAAAGAGCAGCACUCAAAUUUAAGAAGACAAAACCAUGCAUACCUGGGAUUUUUAUCACUCCAAUUCCAUCACUAAAAGAAGGGACCAUUGCUAUCUCUGCUGCUGCAUCGAGGCAACUGUUCUCAGGUUGACAUAAUAAAAGUAUAAGGAUUACAGUGACACAACAAAGGACAAAUUAUUCUAAUAAGUCCCAUUCAAUUAGAUGUAAAUACUUCUGUAAAUGUCUCUCCCAGUACAUCUGCUGCCAAUCAUCUCUUAGUUCAUGCUUUGCUUCAAAUUGUUUUGCCAACCAACUAAUUGAAUGAAUCUGAGCACCACAAUCACCCCAACGCACCUCAUACAGCUUCUUCCAUGCUCCCUCAAAGUUCAACCAUCUGCCAGGUAAUGCAUAUGCUGUGAGACUGGCAAACUUCUACUUGUUCUUAAUCAUUUUUAUAGCUCUAUUCUGAACAUCCCUAUAAUUCAAAAUACACAUGCAAAAUAUUAUUUAGAUAGAUCUACAACCAAAUCUUUCUUCCAGACCUCUUACGCUUCCUUUGACUUCCAGAAUUUUCAUCCUGAGGUCCAUUAUGCUGCAUUCGUGGGAUGGCCUGCACAAAAGGACUCAUAUUCUUGUCAUGACAUAAGUCGUCUCUUUGCAUAACCGCUCACCAAGAACAAAUGCAAACCAGGAAGAGCUGAGGUAAAUUUUCCAUCAUUUAUCAGCUUGCCAGAAUAAGUGGUGACACCAUCUAACUGUUUUACAGCAGCUACAACCAUAUUCUAUUAGAAUUAUACUUUUAAUACAUGACCAGAACUCAAAUGAACAAGACACGACUGAAAUAAUAAAUUUUCUCCAAAUUUCCAGAAAAUUCAUUCUUGGUUCUCGAGCAUUUGCUUCAUUUGAAUCAUCGUCACAAAGCCCUUAUUUGAUUUCUUGCAGUAAUAAAUAAAUUUCAUUAACCUACAUAAGCACCGCUUAUGCCAUGAUCCCGUCCCCGCAACGUGUCUAAACAAAAUAGAAAAGGCAACUAUUGAAAGCCCCUUUGAGUGAUUUGGUUUCACCUCCCCCCAGCCCUUCCCAACCCAAAAAAACCCCCCCAACAAAUUUGCUUUCUAUCCUUUCCUACCAGGACAGUUAAAAAAUCUGAAAAUUUCGAAAUUUAUACUUCGCAAAUUCAAAACUGACAAAUACAUUAACUCAUUCGCAUAAAAACACAAAUACAUCGAAUGCUGGCUACAACUAUUACACAUAUCAUCAAAUUCAGGCUAUACACACAAAACAAAUAGUAGAAUUAGGAAUUUAGAAACAUAUACUGACAUGUUUCUGUGUAAAUUUUCCAAAGCCAAAGGAGUGAGGCCCGGCAACAUCGAAUCGAAUAGUUCAGGUGGAAUUUUAUACAGAAUUGCCAGAAAUUCAUCAUCACAACCUCCUGAAAUGCAGAAUUAAUUUAUAUAAAACAAAUUAGAGAAAAAAAUUCUCAUUGCUGAACCGAAAUUUUCAUCGAUUAUUCAAACUAUGAUGAAGAAAGCUGAUUACCGCGUAAAAGUUCAUCGACAAUUAAAUUCAGGCAUAGACUAAGCAGAGAUGGAGCUUCCGCCAUUUCUUCUCAGUGAGUAGGCUACUAUUUUGAAACAUACGACACCGUUGGAGCUUUUCUGCUUUCUGGAGGCCUUUUUCAUUUUGAUUUCCAUUUUUGGUGACAGCAGAAUUUACAUAUUUGGUCCCUUAAAACUAUGAGGUUAUCAGUUUAGCAUAUUCAACUUUUGGAUUUGGAAUUUCUCCUAGCUAGUUAAAGUGACUGAAUUUUUCUGCAAUUCAGUCCACCAAUGAGGGAUUUAUGGAAUAAAACUUAAUGGGUUAACACUUAAACAACCAUCAAUUCAACAUUUGCUAAGAAAAAUUUGUGCUUAUGUACACAUCAAUUUGUAUUUUUUUGGGUAAAUUACGAUUUAUCUCCCUAUGAUUUAGUUUUUUACAUAACAUUCCCAUGGUUUCACAAGUUAUACAUAACCUCCUCGUGGUUUGAAUUAAAAUAUCAAAAUGACGGAAAUGAUCAUUCAUAACGGAGUCACCUAAAAUGUCAAAAAUACUUUUAUAUAAAGUUGAAAAUUAUUUAUUAACUCAGAAAUGUUAUGUGUAUAUUUGAAAAUCAUAAGGGGGUUAUAUGGUAAAAUAUUAAAUCAUACGGGUUAAUGUAUUAGUAUGUAUUUAUAAGGGUAAUUUCGAUAUUUUUAAAAGUCUCGUUACAAAUGACUAUUUCCGUAAGACACUUUAAUAUAAACCAUGAUAGAAUUAUUUAUAAUUUUUGAAAUUAUAGGGAGAUUAUGUAAAAAAAAUACUAAACUACAGCAGAUAAAGUAUAAUUUGCCCUCUUUUUUCAGAUUUUUCCGGUGAGUGCACAAACGUCAAUAGAUAAAACACAUUUUUUCCAUCUAUAGCAUAAACACUUGUAUCGGUUGGCUCUUCACGUUUACGCGCGCCUUUCUUUUGACUAUGUUCAUAUCGUGUAUUUGUGCUGAACAGUAGUAAUUGCAUUGCUGAGACUCGUCUCAUUUCUGCAAGUACUUAUAUAUUGGUGGUGUUGCUUUAUACAAAGAAUGUCAGUUUUAUUGGUGGUAUUGCUGAGACUCCUCAUUUUAUAUAAAAUCAAAUGCUUCAAAAUCAGAAGAAACUAUUUAUUUUAAAGCUUUCUUUGGCAAUUUUUACCCCCGCAAUGAUAACAAUUGUAUAACUUAUUCUAUUCUAAUCUAUUGAGGAGGAGAGUCAAAAGAAACUUGUGUGUUAGGGACUAAUAGGUAUACAGACUUGACUAGAUCAAGGGGGGUGUUAUAACACCACUCUUGGAUUUUUUUCACUACAAAUGAAGUCUAAGGAGACUUGUGUGUGUGUAUGUGUUAAGGACUAGUAGGUAUACAAAUUUGACUAGAUUAAGGAGGUGUUAUGGCACCACCAUUGGAUUUUUUCGCUACAAAUGGAGCCUAAGGAGACUUGUGUGUUAGGGACUAGUAGGUAUACAAAUUUGACUAGAUAAUGAGGUGCUAUGUACCACCAUUGGAUUUUUUUCGCUACAAAUAAAGUCUAAAGAGACUUGUGUGUGUGUGUGUUAGGGACAGUAGGUAUAUAGAUUUGACUAGAUUAAGAGUGCUAUGGCACCACCAUUGAUUUUUUUUGCUACAAUGGAGCCUAAGGAGACUUGUGUGUUAGGACUAGUAGAUAUACAGAUUAUACCAAAAAGGUGUUAUGACACACCCUUAGUUUUUUGCUAUUUGGUUUAAACCCCGACCCAAGCUCAUCAAGAGGGACUUAAGUCCUCCCUGAUGGCCAGGGAACUGGAGUGUUUAUUUGGCAAUUGAUAUGGUACCAAAAUAGAAAGGGGGAAGAGAAACAGUUUGGUCCUCUUUCGGGCCAAGAUCACGACCUGUGUCGCAGAACAGAGAAGGAUGCCAUUAUUUCUACUAUACUCGCAUUUAGUAGCUAACUGAAAACUCCCAAACUCGUACCACUAUUAGGGGUCCAUAUCCCCACAAUUUAAGUGCAAGAAAGCAUUCUUUUUUACCAAAAAAGAAAGUUUAUUCCUCCUUUUUUUUCUUUUCUUUUUCCGUUUUUUCUGUUAUUCAUGAGCUACAGCUGAAUCAAUUCACUGUAGUUUUUGUCCAUAUGCCAUGAUUUGGUGCACAAACUUGGUAAUUGGGAGCCAUAUUGGUGUCACCAGAUGGCAAGAAAACGUUAAUUAUUGAGAACUUUGAACGGUACACUUGACUUUAUUCUUCUUGGUGGCAAUAAGGACAUGAGGCAGACAAUUGACUUUUCACAAAUUCUGCAAAACGAAGUUUCCUAGCAUCUCCUCUUGUAAAUUACACAAAUUACUCAGACAAAUUAUAAGUACAGAAAUAAGGGGUUUUAAACGGUACAAAAGUAGGAGAAGGCCGGAUAAAAUGGUAACGUAAGAGGCAUUAUAAAUAAAUAGGAGAUCAUAAAUUCAAAAUUUUUCGAUCGAAAAAAAAAAAAGAGAGUGCAAAAGUAAGAUAUGCUAUUUCAUACAUUUAUCGCCCUUUACAUUAUCUGCUCCUACUUUUGAUGGCCUUAAAGCAAUCUUGGACAUUGUCGUCAUCCUUAAAAGUUCAGAUUCCAGGAUCAGAUCCUUUCUGAAAAAGCACACUUUCCUGAUGCCCAAACAAAAAAGCUUUAUUUCCAAAAGAAAAUCUAAUUCUUCUGUGUUGUUAACUUUUUACCAGCAUACAUAUGCAAUUUUUCUUGUCACAGGCUUGGAACAUAAUAAGGAAAAUGACCAAUACCGUUGACAAAUCCAUCUCUCUCUCUCCCUUUUUUCUUUUUUUUUUUGGGUGGCUGCUUCCAAAAAUGCAUGUGCUGAUACACAUGAUGGAAGCUUUUCCAGCAAAUGGUGGAGCCAUGAACUAUAGGAAAAGUGCAGAACUUUGUUGUUGGGACCCCAUGCCAACUUAUAUUGUUGAAAUCCUUGUACACUGUCCAACAUUUGCCUCAGCUUAAGAUUGCAAAUUCAAAAUCAAAACAAUUUAGUAACGUUAACUUGUUGAAUUACACCCAAAAAAAAAAAAGAAGAAGAAGAAAAUGUAUGAUUGAAAAUCUUAUUCAAUAGAUUAAAGUAAAAAACACGGUGCUUCUUCUCAGACGUCUGUCUACACCAGAUGUCAAAACAGAUGCCAAUUGUCCUACAAUUGCACAUGCUGCUUUCGUCAAUGUAAAAUGGUUCUUGUAGUUUCUCUCUUUGCUUGUUCUACCAAAGAAUGCAAUUCACUUUUGUAAAGCACAUAAAGAUUAUUAGAUAAACCCAUGCUCAACAGGAUAAUCACACUAUCUAGCUAAGAAAUUAUUGCAAUAAUUGUCAUUCUCCCCCAUUUGCUGCUUGAACUUUUUGUCACUUGCAAGAUUGUUGCCUGAACCCAAAUCUCUCAUUCAGAAGAUCAUAUUCCACGUUGUAAUUUUGCAUCUGAAAGCUGCCCAAAAUGAUUGAUGGCCCUGUUGUCAGGGCCGGACCAAUAUUGUCUGUCACCAUAGUCAGGCAAAGAACCUCAUUACCACCAACAAUGAGAAGUAAUUGGCUAAUGGCAACUUCAUCUCUGCACCUCCCUUGAAGCUGAACUUCAGCUCAGGCAACACAAUGGAAUCAUGCCCAGAAAGAUUGAAACAUGGCCUUAAACCAGUUAAGGACUCGAUAUUUUCUGCUCUUCUGUAUAGUUUCACUUGUUUUAUGAAUUCACCGGCCACAACUUCAAAAACAGGUGAACUCAUAAGGUAACGUUGAGCCUGAAUCGACUAUAGUUCCACCAUUGCCAUCAGAAUCAGGGCUAAGUACUUGUAUGGAAUCUUUACUUUCUGCAUUCCAACACUGAUUUCCUUAAACCAACAUAGUAGUAAACCUGAAGUGCACUUUUCCCAGCCACAAUUGGGUUUUUAGCCAACGGGGUGUAGCUAAAAUUUUCAGUCUUUUUACCAGAAUUGGAGUCACCAUCCAACACCAAGAAGCCACUCUCGCCAGUGUCAUCAAACCUGCGAGAGAGAAGACAAUAAGAGAACUUCUUGAGGCCAAUUGGCUUGGCAAUGAGGCAGGUCCCCUUCCAAAACCAGCUAUUCCUGCUGGUUGUCUGGAUGAGAAAAGAGAGCAGCCCACAAGAAAGUUUGGAACUUUCUUGUUAGGCAAAUCCAGAGUUUCAACAAUUGCUAUUCCACCAGUUGAGCCUGAACCAUAAAGAAUAAGAUAAGGUGGACAGAUUUGAGUGCAGUUCUUUGCACUAAGCGAUUGGCAUUCGCCGCAACUUGUCUGAGGAUCAAAGUUUGGAUGAAUCCAACGCAUUUCUUAUUCAAGCAUCCAACAAUCUUAAUUGAUGAUGAUUGUUUAGGACUGAACGAAGUGAUCCCCGUGCGCCUGGAAAUGAACAGUUUUUACAUGGUAUUUUUGGUACAUGGAAACCAAGAAAGCCACUACCAGUAUCCAUGACGAGGGAGAUUGUCUGAGGUGGGGUGCCAAAACUGAGUGAAAUUGAGUAGCCACCAUAGCUGUGAGGCAGCAGAGGAGUAGUGCUGGUGAAGGCAGUACUGGAUAGUUGAGGAUUUUUUAUGUGGUGGGCUCUGGCUAAGGAGGCUGAAGCUAGAUGAAAAGCUUUUGGUACAGAUCUGCAUAUGAAUCUGUGCUGGAAAAUGAAAGAGGUAUAGUUAUUGGGUGGGUGAUGAUGAGGAAAUCUGCAGGCUUGCAAUAGAAAGACAAGAGAGAAAAAGGGGAGAGAGCAGGAAAAGAAAGGCAUCGUUCUUGAAGUUUGUGCCAUGAUUUGGAGAUCAGAGAAGAUAAACUAAACCAAUAAUACAACUACUACAAGACUAGUGUUGUAUUAGUACUAGUAAGAGCUGUAUUUUGUUGUCUCAAGUAAAGCACAAAAAGGACAAUAAAGCUUAGGCUAUUGGCUGAUGACAAACGCCACAAUGCUGCCUCUGAGGUUGCACAACUGUCCUCUUGCAUGUGUUUUAGUGUUUGUACCACUGAAUCUAUGCUAACCGCAAAGUUGGAAAGGGGGCUUAAUGAUAACGUCGGUGUGGUUGAAAAUCUUGGAAACCUGCUGAAAAGCAUUCAAUGUUCACCAACUUAGGCAUUUAGCCGUUGUAAAUAGUGUUCAAAAUCAAGCAGUAACAAUUCUAAAGACUCAAACCCCGAUCCUGCACUUUGUUUUACAUAUUUAGGCUGAGAAGAAAAUGAGAGUCAAGGGUUGAAGUCUGCGCUUUACAUUUGGCCAUACUCCGUUUAUAAAGUAGACAUAAAUAUGCUUAUGCUCAAUAUUAGUUUUUACUGAACUGAUGAAAACUCAACUUCCAUGCAUACUUCCCUAUCAUGCCUAACUUCAACAUCACGUUCAUUAAAGCAGCAAUUGAUGCCGCAAGUGACUAACUUUGAACAGAUUUGGCGAUGAAGUUCUUGUCCGAAAGCGCAAUGGGAUAAUGAUUACCCAAUUUAGAGAUUUCUUAAGCUCAUUGGUUUUGUUAGUUAAUUUGUUUAGUUUGUCUAUAUUUGUGGCACUGGGAUAUCUCCAGCCUAUAGACUUUAGAGGGUCUCAGAUAACUUUUCAAAAUCGUUUCUUGUGGUAUUGAAGAUAUAAGAUUUAAAGGAUUUGGUUGAAUGUAACUCUCACAUUAGCUGUGUAUGCAAAUUAAAAAUGAAUACUGUUGGAAGCAUUAUGCGUUAGUAUAAGAGAUUGUUUCACACGUGAUUCCUCACAUUGUUUGGCUGGUUUCGACCAUGGUAAGAAUUUAUAGCAAUUCAACCCCCAGCAAUACAAAACGGAUCUCUCACUUACGUUUCCUCCCCAAAUCACCUAACCUAACCCUCCUCAGAAGGGGAAACACCAAACCCAACCCUCCUCAGAAGGGAUACGGCUAAUCGAACAAUAGUUCUUGUUGCCUUUUGCCACCAGCUUUUCAGCCAAAUUAUGUACGAGGCAUGAUUAAAGGAACUAAAGUAUGUGCUCAUGUGUAUCUUGACCUUGCAGACUGAUCAUACCUUGUGAUUUGGAUGAUUCUUUUCUUUGCAAGUUACAAUGAGGAUAGCUUCAACUCUAAGUUUACCCUUACCCCUUCCCAAGAAAAACAGUUGUUACAGUGAAAUUCAUAAAUCUAGUGGCAUGCAUUGUGGUCAUGCAUAGAACGAUAGAGGUGCUAAACACUUUUAGAAACUUUAAGGCAAAAGCACUAAUGGCAUGUGAAAUUAACAAGCGGCAUCAACAACUAUCUAACUAUGCAACAAAUUGCUUCCGAAGUAGACAAACUGGUGCUUCACAAACGAUCCCAUGUAUCUCUUCAUCAGAUAUAGAAGACAAACAGAUAAAGUAUCAUAGGACCUUCCCGUUUGGAUUGUUUUUAUAGAAACAUGUACUGUAACUAUUUGACGUAUGUGAAGUAAAAAGAUGAUUAAAAAUUGUGUUUAUGAAAAACGUUAAGACUUUUCCUUAGUAAAUAGUAACCCAAACAAGAUAAAGAGAGAAUUUAAACCAUAUCAACAUAUCUUGUGCAUGUGCCUCCUUAGUCACACAGCAGUGCCCGUCAAUUUUGCGUUAGUCACUGCUUGGUUUGGGCUGAUUUACCUGUUAAUAAUGUUCUAAAUAUUGCUAAUGUUAAUGAACAUUUCUUGGCUUAGUAAUUACAUUUUCAUUAGGUUCCUUUCCUUGACUCUUUUCCAUUGUCUUCUCUUAAUCCCACUUCCUUUGAAAAAACGCCCUACCUCAAGCCAUUACUACCACUGCACAAAGCUUGUACACCUCCCAGCUAGCUAGCACCACUUUCUGUUGUCUUUUUUUUUUUUUUGUCGAUCCAGGGGUAUCUGGGUCAAUUCUUACGGGUCCAACAAAUUUCCUGCGGCCUGAGCCCGACGCCCCAACCCGACCAAGGCACGAUAAGUGCACAGGCGUCUCCAUAGUGCAAUUUCGAAUUCGAGACCUAAAUGUCCCAAGGAACAUUGUUACCAUGUGGCUAAACCCAUGGGGGCACCACUUUCCAUUGUCCGCCUGUGCUUUUUUGUGGUGAAUGUAGCCUUUAGCAACAGUGUGGCCAUCUUUUUCUCUAGGCAAUAGUAGACAAACUACUAUUUCGUCUAUAGUGCAAAUUGCUUCACACCAAAGCCCAUAACAAUAGCCUAAAACACUUUAUUAUUGCUUGAGAUUGAUGCCACGAUGCCCAUGCUACAAUUGGUGUUGGACUAUUGGGUACGGGAGCAUGGGUUUAAUACACAUACACGUGAACUGUCAGUUUCAAGCCGAGCUGGGAAAUGGAAACCUACAAUAGUUGCUCUUUGUCUGCUACUGUAUGAGUUCUCAAUUUUGUUCCCAGUUCAUUUCUUUAUGGGGAUAUGGGGACCCUUCACCUCGAUUAUUAUGCAGUAAAAGAGCGUUGAACCAAAAACUCAGUACCUCUGUAAUGGUAUUUAUUACAGCCUAUAAUGAGCAACAUUGAUUGAAGUGGAUAAACUUAAAAGUUGCAAAUUAAGGUGAAGUUAGCUAUGCUAAUCACUAAUUUGUUUUUUAUAUGGUAAAGAAUUAGUAGAAAAGUUAAGGAAAAAUCGUAUUCUACUCCCUUUAAUUACUGUCACGAUUCUACUCCCUUUAAUUGGCCAAAAGAAUCACCAAAGCAACUUAUUUUUGAUGAAUUCUUUAUUGUUAGGGAUGACAAUUGGACGAGUGCCUGCGAGUGCCCAUCCUAUGGGGGGAGUAAUGGGGUGAGAGAUAGGGCGCGGGCAGGGGCCGGGAUGGGGGGAAUUUUUCUUCCUCCGUUUUAAACGAGGAGAGAAAAAUUUAUAUUAAUUUUUCUCCCCCGCUUCAAUUUAUUAAUAUAAAUAAAUAUAAUAUAUUGUAUAAUCUAAUAAUAAUAAAUUUAGAAUAUUUGACAACUAAACAUAACCUAUAUCCCAUUUCUAUUCAAAUUCCUAAUUGAUAUUUGACACAAAUAUGUUAUACAUUUUAUGAGUAUUCCCAAAUAUUAUCUAUGCAAUCCAAUUAAGUUUCUUAAUUUUCUUGGUGUUUUAUUUCAACAAUUUUCUUUUUUCACUUUUUCCAGUUUCCUAUUUUAUUUUAUUCUUUGAAUUUAGUUUUGAUCUAUUGAAUAAAAACUUUUUUAAAAAAAUAAAUUAUCACCCACAAACACCUGCAGGAAAAGCAGGGUGGGGCGUGGGGGAACGGGGGCGGGGGACGAGCGGGAAUGGGGAGAGUUUUUUGGUAACAGAGUGGACCUGUUGCCAUCCCUAUUUAUCGUUUUUGCAUGGAGGACCAGUUGUUCUAAAAUUGUCAAGUCUACACCAAUGUUUUAAAAACCGGACCGUUAAUCGAACCGGUGAAGUGAAAGGGUCGAGGUUCAACCGGUCGGACCGGUUCAACCUCGGUUCAAUGAAUUUUUUUAAAAAUAAUUUAUAUAAAUAUAUAUGUGCACAAAAUAAACAUGUAAUGGAUAAUUUAAUACUUUAUAUGAUGAAAAGUUUACUAUUUUGAAUAACUUGGAUUUUUAAAAAUAAAUUUUUUAAAUUAUAAGUUAAAACAAAUAAAUUUCAUCUCAAUUUCAAUUAUAUCUACCAAAAAAAUCUUAAAUAUAAUCCAAAAAUAUCACAAUAUUUGAAAUUAUACAAAAUUCACGUCUAUGAGAAUUUAGACAUUGUGAACUUAAAUUUUAAUUUACAUUUUGGAAUUUAAAUUUACAAUUUAAAAAAGGAAAUUUGGAGUUCGAAGAAAAUCAAGAGAAUUGAAAAUAGAAAUGCAAAUUUGAUAAGAAACAAAAAAUUAGAUAAAAGUGAGUGGUUGUGGUAUUAAAUAAAUUGGGUUAAAGAAAAAUAAUUCUUUUUUAACUUUUUUAAAUUUAAUGGACAAAAACAAAAUUAAAAUAUGGAAGAAAACAUCAAUAAAUUAAAAAUAAAGAGGUUUGAUUAAAAAAUGAGUGGCAAAAGAAAAGAUGAUAGAGAGAGAGAGAGUGUGUGUGUGUGUGUGUGUGUGUGUUGAAGAUUAAAAAGAAAGAGUCAUGAAAGGAUGAUAUUUUGUGAAAAAAAUGGAACAAAAGAAAUAUGAGUGUUUGUUUUAUAUAAAUAAGUUAUCAAAAAAAACUAAUAAGAUGUGAUAGUGCAACGGUUACUACAUUGGUCUUCUAUUACAAAGAUCUUGAGUUCGAAUCUUGAUAACUACAUUUUGCAAAAAAAAAAAAAAAAAAAAAAAAAAACUCAAAAACCGGAAAUAACCGGUUCAAAUCCGGUUCAGCGGUUUAGCGGUCCGACCGGUUUUGACCGGUUUCUUGACAAAGUCAAACUUGGCAUUGAACCGGACCGGAACCAUGGCCGGUUCGCGGUUCAACCGGUCGAACCGGCCGGUCCGGUCCGGUUUUCAAAACACUGGUCUACACCAUGCCCCUGACAAUAUGCUUUUCUCUAUCAAGCUGGAAAACUAGGGCGUUGUUUGGAUUACGGGAAUGGGACGGAAAGUAAAAGGGAACAACGAGGGAGUUGGUCUUCUGUGUUUGAUCAAUAUUUAAGGGGAAAGGGGAAAUAAUAAGGAGCAAAACGGAGAGAAACGGAAGGAAUGACGAGCUCUUUUUAAUAUACUUUCUGUUCCUUCCCCUUUCCAAGCAAUAUAUCUGUCUGUUUUCUUUUCCUUCCUCCUCUAAUUGAAUUAGCCUAUCCUUCUUAACUUUCUUUUCAACUGGGGUAGCAUCAUUCCAUUCCUUCAAUAGCUACGAUGUAACAACUCAAUUAAAUUGAAUGAGUGACCAAGCUGAUAGAGACAAAGUGACAAUAAGAAGGUAAUUUCACAGCAGUUAUUAGAAAUAGCCAUAGAGAAUUAUACAGUGGAGAAAAACAAGAAUGUGUAGUAAGAGACAUGCACCGAACCAGAAUACAGAGAAUCAACAGGAAAUGAGCUUCUUCCAUCAUGCCAGAAACAUCCGGAAUACCUAAAAUAAAUAUAUGGUUAAUUAGUCUUUGCCAUUUUUCUAGCCAGAAACCGUUCCUUUGCGGCAGCUA